UUACACCGCGCUCUCUUCCUCCCUUGCACAUAACAAGACGAAGCGCCGCACGCCGCUCCGUCCCAUCCCACCAGCCACCGGCGCCUCGGGCCUCGGCCGCGCACCGCCCAAGAGUUCGUCCGUCCCGGCGGGACUGUUGGAUCGAUGGCCGCCAUGAAGGUCGUGCUGAAGCUGGACCUGCACGACGACAAGCAGAAGCAGAAGGCCAUCAAGGUCGUCUCCACUCUCCACGGUAUGAAUCUCGUUGAUCCGGUCUGAAUUCUACACCAGCUCUGAUCCAUAUCUGAAUUUCGCACCUCUGACGAUGGCCACUGCCACUUCCCCAGGCAUCGACCAGAUCGCCGUGGACACCAAGGACGACAAGAUGACGGUGGUCGGCACCGUCGACCCCGUCCACGUCGUCGGCAAGCUGCGCAGCAAGCUCUUCCGCACGGCACAGAUCGUCUCCGUCGGCCCGGCCAAGGACGAGAAGGACGGCGCCGCUAAGAAGGAACCCAUCACUGUGUACGCGCCGUGGUACCCGCCGCCGCCGUACCACUACCACCCGCACCCGUACUAUCACAACCACAGCGCCGAGGAGGAUCCCAGCUCCUGCGUCAUCUGCUGAUCGAGUUGCACAUUUCGUAGCCGGCCCGCCGAUCGAUCAGCGUUCCUUCGCCGGUGAUCGACGGCGUGCGGCAUGUACCUGGCCGUGUAAGGCGUGUACGUUGCGCCGGUGAUCCGGCAGCCGUGCAUCUGCUUAAUUUGUAACGUGUAGAUACUACAGAAUUACAGUAUAUUGUUCAGAAAAAAUAUAUCAUCAAAUUGUUAAAAGACAAGGUGUGGAGAAGGACCAGAUAGAAGUGCUGCAAUAGUUUUUUCAGAAAAAGUUCAUCGAGUGCCCCCAAAUUGGUGAUAAGAAAGUAUUGACACAAAUAAACUGGAGGUGCAGCAGAUUGGUCGCUCGUGCAUCUUUUCAUUCGCCAGUAAAAAGUUUGAACUCUGAAGCCCACUUGAGAGUUGCUUUCAGUCAGCCAGUCAGUCAUCUCGACUGACAAAGCGAAAGGUUUCCAAGCUUUUGGACUGUUUUUAUUACUCACGUGUGUUUUCCUCGGCAUGAGUAUGACCUAAUAAAAUUGCUAACCGUCCAUCUCACAAAAUAUACAUUGUUAAUUGCAUGUCUUAAUCGCUGCUCUAACUGCAUACAAUUUUCAUUUUGUACUAUGAUUGAAUCAAACAUCUUUUGUGUUCUACCACUAGUGCAGAACUGGGCUAUAGCACCGGUUCGUAAGGCCCUUUAGUGCCGGUUCGUUAACCGGCACUAAAGUGUGGGUACUAAAGGUCCCCUUUUAGUACAGGUUACGCACGAACCGUCGCUAAAGAUAAACCACGUUCGGAGGCGCGUAGGAAAUGUUUGGGUGUGUUUUGGUUUUGUUUUUUAUUUUUACUUUAAUUUUGUGUUUUCAAUUUAAUUUAGUGAUUGUUUUACAUUAUAAUGAGUUGUUAAAUCAUUAGGUGAAAGUACCGCAGAUUAGUUUGACUGGAUGCAUGUGGAUCCUAGCUAAGUCAUCAAGUAUAUAUAUGCCAUGUCCAUAUUAUAUAUACUUGAUCACCUAAUUAAGUGAUCGAGGUAAUAUGGAUAUGGCCACUAGUAGAAAAAUGGUCAAACGUGAAGCACAUUAGUGCCGAUUUGUAUUUGAGCCGGCACUAAUAUACACAUUAGUGUCGGUUCCAACGGAUAGCCGGGCCGCUUUCAUUAGUACCGGUUCGUGGCGAACCUUUAGCACCGGUUCGUGCCACGAACCGGUACUAAUGAGAGUGGUGGCAGGAUGUUGCCAGAGUGGGGUCCCUCCAGCACCUUUAGUACCGGUUCGUGCCACGAACCGGUACUAAAGGUCGUCCUAUAUAAACCCUUCGUCCACCAGCACUCUGUUCUUCCCCCUUUCCCCUCUCCGGCCCUCUCCUCUGUUCUUCCCUUCUUCCUCUCGAGUUCAUCACAAAAUUUGCCCAAAAUUUGUCAAGAUUUGAAGGCCCUCAUCCAUUCAAAUGAUCACAAAGGUUAGCAACUUUGUCCUUUCAUCUCUCAUUGCUAGAUUAGCUCUUGCAUUGGUUUAUAUAGUGAUUAAUUUGUGAGUUUAGUAAUUUGGGAGGAUAUAUAUAUAUAUAUAUAUAUAUAUAUAUAUAUAUAUAUAUAUAUGCUAGUAUUUGAUUUAUAUGCAAUUUGAGGUCAAAAAUAACACUUAGUUUGCAUAUGUAGGUGUGGUUUACUUAGUGCCUUCUAAAUCUCCAUCGUAGCCACCGUCGAUCACCCGCACCGUCCCGUCGCCGGCACCACCUUGUGGUGAGCCUCUUGUUCAUGAAAUUUUAUAUAAAAAUUGAUGUUUGUGUGAUUUAGAUAUAUAGUUACUCGUAUAAUUAUCUUACCCGUACGUUGUUUGUUAUACAUAUAUUGCCAUGGUUUUGAUAUCCGUCCCCGUCGGCCCUAGUCCUUGUUAUGAUUCGGAUGUGGUAUGUAUAUUCUCUUUUAAAACUAGUUGCAUUUUGUGUUUAUGACAAAUUAUGCCCAUCAAGUUGACAUAGAAAUUUUUUCUAGGAGGUAUCUGAACCGGAAAUUCCAACCGACCCUAUUGCCGAGAGGUUAAAUUUAGUUGAAAGAGAAAACGAGUACUUGAAAGAAAAACUGAAAAGAAUUGAGGGGGAGAAGAUGGAAUUGGAGUUGCAUGUUGCCGAUGUUGUCGAUGAUCACAAGAUCAAGAUGGAGAAAAUGCGCUUGAAGAUUAGAAAGAUUAGAAAAUAUGCCAUCGAUAGUGAGGCUUGGUAUCAUUAUGCUGUUGGAUCCAUUGUUACCUUAGUUGCGAUCUUGAUCGUAUUUGUUGUUGCAUUUAAAUGCUUUAGCUAGAGAGUUAUUUGUUUGUUGCAUUUAAGUGUUGUAUGAACUUUAUGUAUGAACUUGUAUUAAUUUGGUCUAUUCGGUGUUGUGUAAUGAAGAUGAGCCGACAAUGGAUGUACGAUGACCGAUGCUCUCCCCAGUUCGUUGAGGGCGUGCGUACUUUUCUGCUUGCAGCUGAGGCAAACAAGUGGGCGGGUGGUUUUAUGCCUUGUCCAUGUGCUCGCUGUAAGAAUGGUCAUAAUUACUCUACGUCAAGAACCAUUCACGUCCACCUGUUUAAGACCGGUUUCAUGCCCCAUUAUAAUGUUUGGACCAAGCACGGAGAAAGAGGGGUUAUGAUGGAAGACAAUGAAGAAGAAGAGGACGGCGACAGCUAUCCUGGCCAUGGGUUCCCUGAAUACGAUGAUACAACAAUGGGGGAAGAAGCUGAGCCGGUAAUGCGGGAAGAAGCUGAGCCGGCAAUGCGGGAAGAAGCUGAAGAAGAGGCAUCAGAUGAGCCCGUUGAUAAUCUAGGUCGGGCCAUUGCCGAUGCAAAGAGAAACUGCGCAAGUGAUUUGGAGAAGAAGAAGUUACAGCGCAUGUUAGAGGAUCACAAAAAAUUGUUGUACCCAAAUUGCGUAGGUGACAAGAAAAAGCUGGGCACCACACUGGAAUUGCUGCAAUGGAAGGCAGAGAAUGGUGUAUCUGACAAGGGAUUUGGAAAGUUGCUGGUAAUGAUAAAGGAUAUGCUUCCAAAGGACAACGAAUUGCCCGAGAGUACGUACGAAGCAAAGAAGGUUGUCUGCCCUCUAGGGUUAGAGGUGCAGAAGAUACAUGCAUGCCCUAAUGAUUGCAUCCUCUACCGCGGUGAGUACGAGGAUUUAAACGCUUGCCCGGUAUGUGGUGCAUUGCGCUAUAAGAUCUGCCGUGAUGACCCUGGUGAUGUCGAGGGCCGGCGCCCCAGGAAGAAGAUUCCUGCCAAGGUGAUGUGGUAUGCUCCUAUAAUACCACGGUUGAAACGUUUGUUCCAAAACAAAGAGCAUGCCAAGGCGAUGCGAUGGCACAGAGAAGACCGUAAGAAAGACGGAAAGUUGAGAGUACCCGCUGACGGGUCGCAGUGGAGAAAAAUUGAAAGAAAGUACGGGAAGGAGUUUGCAGAUGACGCAAGGAGCGUAUGGUUUGGUCUAAGCGCAGAUGACAUUAAUCCUUUUGGGGAGCAGAGCAGCAACCAUAGCACCUGGCCUGUGACUCUAUGUUUGUAUAACCUUCCUCAUUGGUUGUGCAUGAAGCGGAAGUUCAUUAUGAUGCCAGUGCUCAUCUAAGGCCCUAAGCAACCCGGCAACGACAUUGAUGUGUACCUAAGGCCAUUAGUUGAAGAACUCUUACAACUGUGGAAUGGAACAGGUGUACGUGCGUGGGAUGAGCACAUGGGAGAAGAAUUUGACCUAAAGGCGUUGCUGUUCGUGACCAUCAAUGAUUGGCCUGCUCUCAGUAACCUUUCAGGACAGACAAACAAGGGAUACCGCGCAUGCACGCACUGUUUGGACGGUACUGACAGUAUAUAUUUGGCUAAUAAGAAUGUGUACCUGGGACAUCGUCGAUUUCUUUCGAGCAGGCAUCCCGUAAGAAAGAAAGGCAAGCAUUUCAAAGGUGAGGCGGAUCACCGGACGAAGCCUCGCCACCGUACUGGUGCUGAUGUACAUGAUAUGGUGAAGGAUUUUAAGGUGGUCUUUGGAAAGGGUCCUGGUGGGCAACCUAUUCCGAAUGACGCUGACGGACGCGCACCCAUGUGGAAGAAGAAAUCUAUAUUUUGGGACCUGCCCUAUUGGAAAGACCUCGAGGUCCGCUCCGCAAUCGACGUGAUGCACGUGACGAAGAAUCUUUGUGUGACCCUGCUUGGCUUCUUGGGCGUGUAUGGGAAGACAAAAGAUACACCUGAGGCACGGGAGGACCAGCAACGUAUGCACGGAAAAGACGGCAUACAUCAGGGUCAUGCAAGCUACGCUCUUACCAAAGAAGAGAAGGAAAUCUUCUUUGAAUGCCUGCUCAGUAUUAAGGUACCGUCUGGCUUCUCGUCGAAUAUAAAUGGAAUAAUAAACAUGGCAGAGAAAAAGUUCCAUAACCUAAAGUCUCAUGACUGCCACGUGAUUAUGACGCAACUGCUUCCGGUUGCAUUGAGGGGGCUUCUACCGGAAAAUGUUUGAUUAGCCAUUGUGAAGCUAUGUGCAUUUCUCAAUGCAAUCUCUCAGAAGGUAAUUGAUCCAGAAAUCAUACCAAGGUUACAGAAUGAUUUGGUGCAAUGUCUUGUCAGUUUCGAGUUGGUGUUCCCACCAUCCUUCUUCAACAUCAUGACGCACGUCCUAGUUCACCUAUGCGAAGAGAUUAACGUUUUGGGUCCUGUAUUUCUACACAAUAUGUUCCCCUUUGAGAGGUUCAUGGGAGUCUUAAAGAAAUAUGUUCAUAACCGUGCUAGGCCAGAAGGAAGCAUCUCCAAGGGCCGUCAAAAUGAGGAGGUCAUUGAGUUUUGAAUUGACUUUAUUCCUGACCUUAAGCCGAUUGGUGUUCCUGAAUCGCGGCAUAAGGGCAGACUGGAUGGAAAAGGCACGCUAGGAGGGGAACAAAUAAUAUGUAUGGACGGACAUUCUCUCACUGAAGCACACUACACAAUUCUACAGAAUUCCGCCUUGGUGGCUCCGUAUAUGGAUGAACACAAGAAUUUGCUACGCUCCAAACACCCGGAGCGGUCUGAUGACUGGAUUACACAUGAACAAACCAGGAGUUUUGCCAGCUGGUUGCAAGCACGUACCAUGCAUGACACCUCUAUUGAAGAUGACUUGUACUUGUUGUCCCAGUUACCAUCUUCGAAUAUAAUGACUUUCAAAGGGUACGAGAUAAAUGGUAAUACAUUUUACACGAUCGCCCAAGAUAAGAAGAGCACCAACCAAAACAGUGGUGUCCGCUUUGAUGCAGAAACCAAGACGGGAAAGGAAACAUAUUAUGGUUAUAUACAGGACAUAUGGGAAUUUGACUAUCGACGUGGUUUGAAGGUCCCUUUGUUUCGGUGCAAAUGGGUCAAUAUGACACGAGGCGGGGUAACGAAAGACCCGCAGUACGGAAUGACAACAGUGGAUCUCAACAAUCUUGCGUAUGCAGACGAACCAUUCGUCCUAGCCAAUGAUGUGGCACAGGUUUUCUAUGUGAAGGACAUGUCUACCAAGCCAAGAAAAAGAAAAGAUAAGGAAGCGAAUGCAUCGUACGAUGAGUCAAAGCGGCACAUAGUUCUUUCUUGGAAGAGAAACAUCGUGGGAGUGGAUGACAAGACAGACAAGUCAGAAGAUUAUGAAAAGUUUGAUGAAAUUGCUCCAUUCACAGUGAAUAUUGACCCGAGCAUCCCGCUAAAUGAUGAAGAUUUUCCAUGGCUACGACGCAAAGGGACACACGCGAAGAAAAAGUUUCACACCCAAAGAUCUGGGAUGUGAUCGGCUUAACUAUCAUCACUUUCUUCUGUGUUUCACACCCAGGAGGGAAUCUCUGUAAUAGUUAGGGUAGCUAGUUAUGUGUUUUGGCAUUUGAAAUGCGAAGAAAUUUUAUGUGCAAGCAAAUUCUUUCAUGCAUUUAUUGAUUUUUUCAGCUAAAUGACCCUGAAAUUGAAAAGCAUUUCAAAUGAACUCAGAAAAGGAUGAAAGUUGGCAUGGUAUCAUAAUUUCACCCACAUAGCAUGUGCAAAAAAGUAGAGAGGGUUACCGCAAAAACUGGAUGCACUUCGUGUACAAAAUGGACAAUCUGUUUCGAAGUAUCAGGGUUUCGGACGAAAACUCAUCCGUUACAAAGGCAUUUCAUUUUUAAAUAACUUAAGCAUUACCAAAUUGAAUAUAAUGAUAAAACACACUAAUAUUAAACAUAAGAAAAAAGAAUCACUGGAAUAUGUAUUUUAAAAGUUAAGUUAUUCACAAACUAGUGAUUCACACAAAUUUCAAAUAAUUCAAAAUUUAAACUAUUCAAAUUUAAAAACUACCGGCACUAACUGAAAGUUUCUAAAAACUAUCAAAAAUAUUCACAAAGAAACUCUAAAUACAACAAAAAACAACUAAAAAUAAAUAAAGCAGAAAAGAAAAAACUAAAUGAAAAAAGCCCACCUACCGGGCAACAGCGGCCUGCAUACGACUAGAAACCUAACCUGUUGUUGGGCCAGGAUGCAGGCCCGCAAGCCCAAUAGGCCCCACGGGGCAGAGUAGCAGAGGUAGGCCCAGAAGGCAUGCUUUAGAGAGGAGCUCGAGACAGCAGCGGCGGCGGGGCUUAUAAGCGGGUGUGAGCGCCCUUCGGCUAGCGAGGUGGGACUAAACUUCUGCGCCCCUCGCCUGGAAGCGCACCCCCUUUAGUACCGGGUCGUGGAACCAACUGGUACUAAAGGGGGGGCCUUUAGUACCGGUUGGAGCCAGGAACCGGUACUAAAGGGGGGGUGCUUCCCCCCGCUUGGCCUGGCCAAAACAGGCCUUUAGUACCGGUUGGUGGCUCCAACCGGUACUAAAGGUGUCCCCUAUAUAAGAAACACUUCGAAAAUUUUCAGUUUCUCAUCUCCCACUUCUCUCUACCGCCGCCCCGUCUCGCGCCGUCGCCACCCCCGUCGCGCCGUCCCCGUCGACUCCGCGACGCCCCCGUCCUCGUCACGUCGUCCCCGUCAACUCCGUGGCACCCCCGUCGCCGUCUCGGUCGCUGAUCCCCUCGCUUCGCCGUCGCCGUCGCCUUUGGAUCGACCUCGCCUCGCCGUCGCCGUCGCCUUGACCUUGCCCGCGCGCGCUGUGAGCCCCUCCCCCGGCCCCUCUCCUCUCUCCAAUCGAUCGUAGCGCACACCGGCGCCGGCGUCGGCGCCGACCGUAGCGCACACACGCGCGCGCACGCACACACACACACUACAUGCACACACACACACACACUACACACACACUAGACGCGCACACACACAAUUUUUCUGUUUUUAGCUUUUAGUUUUUUCUGUUUUUCUGUUUUUCAUACAAAGUUUUAGAUGAAUUAAUUAAUUAGAUUAGAUUAAUGUCAAAUAGUAUGUAGAAAUGUUAGUUAUAAUAUAUAUAAUGUCAAAUGUUAUAGAAAUGUUAGUUAUAUAGAAAUGUUAGAAAUUUUGGAAAUGUUAGUUUUAGCUAGCUAGAUGAAUUAGAUUAAUUUCAAAUUGUUAGACGAUGAUCGAUGUUUUUUUAGUUUCUUAUAUUUUUAGUUAUAAAAUUUAGAAUUUGCAUAUAUGAAAUCAUCACAAUCCAUCAUUUAAAAAAUGUUACUUUACUUUUGCGGCAUAUAGUAUUUUGUUGUCGAUGAUGCCCGGCCCGCAUCCUCGCCGUCGACACGUCCGCGACGACGUCCUGCUUCAGAGGACCCAUGUCCGGGACUGGGCUCCGCCGGGCUGGCACUAGGAGGUGCUACCUUCAGGGGCGCGACGCUUGAUGAGGAACCCGGCCCCGGGUCCCGUUGUCGACCCUCAUCUCCUUUGGUGGCAUUCGCAUGGGCCACUUUCGGUGCGGAGGGAGCCAGCCCCGCCGGAGGUGGUACGUCGCCGUGUCAGGGAGGAGGACGAGCACGUCCAUCGCUACAUGGCUGCUAUGGACGUCAGGUUCUCCAAUACCUGGCAGGUUCUUUGGGGAGAUCACCCGAGCUAUGACCCAGUGAUGGUUCCUUCUCUUUGGGUGUCCACCGCCCGCACCUCAGGAACCGCGAGUGGCCUAGAUUACUCUGUAGUAUUCGAUCUUUAUUAGCUUGCUAGCUAGCUAGCUAGUGAUGUAUUCAAUAUUAUAUCUAUUAUUCGAGACGAUGUAUUCGAGAUUAUAUCUAUUAUUCGAGAUUAUACUAAAUUGUUUUAUAUUUCUUUUGGCAUAGUUAAAUAAAAGCUAUGGCGGACAAUACCGACAGAGAGAGAGAACAGACCAUGUUCGAUAUCAUACGCGGGCCAGAUGAUGAUCAGAAUGAAGAAGAUUUUGACGGCUCCGAAUUUCUAAACAACACCGGAGAGGGUGGUAUGAUAUUCGACCGCGACGACCGAGAAGAUGAAGUCAUGAACUACGACGAAGAACAUGUUGAUCCUGAAACAACAAACACCGGCGAGGUAUAUAUAUUUAUAUAAGCAGGAAUCUGGUGAUCAUCGCAUGUUUUAAAUGAGUUGAAGAUAUAUUAACGAAUCGAUCUUUCUUCUUUCAGCCAUCCGGAUCGAGCAAAUCUUCAAGCAAAAGGACGAAACGAGGCCCGAACAAAAAGUUGAAGGAGGGCGUAAAGUACAAUAUCGAGGCAUUCAAACCUAAUGGCGAACCAUUAGCGCCUAAGAAGAUUGCGGACAAGUUCGUUCGUCGGUGCGGAGUUCUUGUGAAGGACCAACUCCCGAUCUCCCUUCAAGAAUGGAGAAAGCCAGCAAAUCCAUGUCCAGAUGUUACUUUUGUCGAUGAGAAUCAAAAAAAUCUGCUUUGGGAUACUCUCAUGGAACAUUUCACCCUACCAGAUAAUUUCACACAAGCAGAUGUGCGGAAAGUCAAGGACGCUGCUUUUAGGAAGAUGGCGGUUGCAUUCAAGAACCACAAGAGAAUGACGUGGGAGAAGUACAUCAAGGGAUGAAGGAAGACUCCAGUAUUCGAGGGGAUACUAGAGAAUCAAAGUGCUCAUUGGGAUGAUUUUGUGAAAUUCAAGGAUUCAGAAUUAGCUAAGGAACGGUCGAGAAUAAACAAGAAGAAUGCCGAAAAAAAGGAUAAGUUCCAUAAGCUGGGGCCAGGUGGCUACGCGGUGGCAAUGCCUAAGUGGGAUAAGUCUGAGAAAGAGAUGGAGGAUGUAGGUGUCACUCCGGUUACUAAGAGCUGGCCCCCCAGGUGCAGGACUUGGUUCUAUGCGCAUGGGGGGGAGUUGGACCCGAAGACAGGCAAUGUUUCGACGAAGGCAUGUCUGAACGGAGCCGGCGAUGCGCUACUUGUUGCAAUAGAAGAGGCUCGAUCGGGGGUGUUCCAGCCCAACAGAGAGAACGACGAGCUUACGCGUGCCUUGGGAAAUCCUGAACACCCGGGAAGAACACGAGGCAAGGUCUCUCUUCCGUGGUAUGAGGGGUUUUUGGACUAGAACGCCGACUACAGAACCCGUGCGAGAAAGAAGACUGCGGAGGAGAAGAAGACGAAGAUGGAGGAGGAGAAGAGGAAGCGGGACUAUGAACGCCUUCAAGGCCUAGAAGCAAGUCAAGCGGAAUUGGCAGCUAAAUUCCAGCGGCAGCAGGAGCAGAUCGACUCACUUAGCCAGCAAAGGGGGUCUCAGCAUCUGCAGCAGCUAGCGGAUGAUCCAACAUUGGAUACCACCGCCCCAUCCAUACUGAGAAGCAGUGUGGGUUCCACCCCGGGCGACGCAGUAGUGCUGGAUAGAUACCCCGUGGAUGACAUCACGGAGAACACUAACUGCGAGCUACACUUCAAAAUGAAGAACAUAUCUAUGAAGGUGGCGGACGCCGUUGCUUUUUCAAAUUCCCCCGAGGCAACCUUCCAUUGCAACCCGAUUCCAGCGGGCUAUGCUCGUGUCUUGGUUGAUGAGGUGGUGGACCCAUAUUCGGAGCUACAGCUUGACAUUCCUGGAGGUGACGACGAGCACACAUUGGGAGAGGCCAUACAUCGUGUCAUCCUAUGGAGAAAGGAUUGCAUCAUCUUUCGAAGGCCACCGACACCGUGUCACCCGACUCCUCGUCGAAGUCCGCCACCGAAUCAGCAGACUCCCGCUCCUCCAAGUCCACCAACGCGUGAGGCCACUCCUCCUCCUCCAAGUCCGGCAAAGUGUCAGGCCACUCCUCCUCCAAGUCCGACACAGCGUCAGAUGUCCACUCCUCCUCCAAGUCCGGCACAACCUCAGGCCACUGCAAGCCCGGCACAGCUUUAGGCCACUCCUCCUCGUCCAACUCAGCCCCGUCAGCCGUCUCCGCCGCCUCAGCAGCCGCAGAAGAGACACCCCGCAGCUAUGGUGCAUAGCAGUACGAGUCGAGGUCAUAGUACAGGAAGUACAGGCGGAGGCAAGCGAUAUAAAUAUGGUCCAAACCUCACUACUCCUCUUCCUGUGAGGGCUUACGACAGGACCGAGGAGCAAACCAAUGCCAUAGUGCAGGCAGAAGUCGACGCCCAUUUUAGACCGAAACCGCCACCGCCGCCAAGGGAGAAAGUGCCCGUGGAAGUAGUUGACCACUUCAUUCGUAUGGCUCAACCACCAGCUCCUAAGCCUAUUGACUCAGACUAUGAGCGCCACAUCAGGAAGUUACAUCGACGACGUCUACAGAAGGAGGCGAGCUCGAGCUCGAGCAAACAACAAGCAGCUGUCAAAAAAUGCGGGAAAACCGUUGCCAAGCUGGGAAAACAGGCGGCGCAAUCGACCCCCCCGCUUGUUGUGCCGCCAACAACACGUGACAGUACGCGCGCCCAAUAUUAUUGUGGCCAAACAGUUUACGUUCCCGAGGUGGGCGAUGUGGUAAUAACCCAGGAGCAUAUAAUGCAGGCUGAAGAACUCAAGAUCACUGUUGGACAACUCCUCGAGAUCGAGGACAUGCCUGGGAUUACAGAGGAGGAAAUAAAACGGAAAUAUGUCCGGGGCCAACCUUUGGUCGAGCCAGAAGAUGUCAACAAGCUCCCAACGAGAAUGUAUGAAUUGCAUCAAUGGUACGUGGACAUUACUAAGAGAUCCAAUCGAGAGUCCCUCAUGGUGAAUGUCAAGAAGGAUGAUUACUACCAUGAGAAAGUUGUGGCCGUUGAGUAUCCUGAACUGUUUCAGUUAUACAAUCAAGACGCACUCGACAAAUCUAUCGUCAGUUGCUAUUGUCUGUAAGUGAUUUCUUUCUGUAAUUUAAGUCUCAAGCUAGCUGUAGUGAUCCUUUUGAUCAAUCAUUACCUGUAAUUAUCCUCACUAUAUUCUUUUCUGUGGUAUUAUGCAGGAUGAAGAUGUAUGAAAUGAGAAAAGGUGGACGCUAUAUAUGGCAUUGGGUUCAUUGACCCAAACACCGUUAAUGAAUACACAUGGAAAAUGAACAAGCAUCAAGAAAAAAAAGGUAGAGGACAGCAUGCUAGAGUUCUUGAAGCGCCUCAAAUACAAUGAAGAUAUACUACUUCCUUACAACUUCCAGUGAGUCACACUUUCUUGUACUACAAAUUCUCUGUUUUUGCCUACUAGCUAGCUACAUGUUUUUGCUUACAUAUGCCCGCUUAAUUAAGACAUGCAAACGUGUGUGCAUGCAGAUUUCACUGGAUCUUGUGUAUCAUUAAAGUUGACGCCGGAACAUGCAUACUGGACUCGCUACUCAAAGCAAAUAGUGACUAUAACAUCUUGUUUGGGAUAGUCAACAGGUAAUUUCAAUCAUUAUUAACUAUAUAUCUCGACCUAUUUAGUUCGUCAUUAAUUUCAUGAUAUGAACUAUUUAAUAACCCCUUUAUUCAUUUUCUUUGUCGGCGGGCAGGGCUUGGGCAAGGUUCAUCAGCGUCACGGAAGGCGAAUGGAAACCAAAGCUGAAAUGGUUUCGAUCCAAGGUAAGUAAUAAGUAGUACUAGCUAGCUAGCUACCUGCCAUCUCUUUAAUUAUCAUGCUUGAUUAAUUAUUAUCUGAUCAAAUUAAAUUCCAUUCUCGUAAUAAAGGCCCUGAAGCAGGCGCAGGGGACUGAUCUGUGUGCAUUCUGCGUUUGCGAGAACAUUCGCAUGAUGGCGUCCGAAAGGAGCAGAUCUCAAAGACAGGAAUGGGUACGCUUGUUAGAACACUAUUCACAAUUUUUACACCAUUAUCGAUAUCUAGUCACACAACUAAUACACAUGCAUAUUGAUCUCCUUCUUAACAGUUCAAAGAGGUGCGGGACAAGCUCCUACCAACGGAGCGCGUAGAAGCACUUCAAGAGGAAAUAGCAGGAUUUUUGCUCGACCAGGUCAUAAAUCCGAAGGGAGAAUACUAUUACCCGCUACCGCCCCCAUGAACCACUUCCAAUUGUCAUCGUGCUCCGAAGGCACCAAUUAGGCUAAUGCCACUGGCUCCGAAGGCAACAUGCAUAUGUAGGAGAAAUUGUAUAUAGCUAUACAUGUGUGUAUGUGUAAAUUAAUAUGGUGGUUUGUGAGACAUUGAUGAUAUAUAUAUAUAUAUAUAUAUAUGAUUGGUUCUACUAGAAAUUCUAUAUAUAUAUAUAUAUAUAUAUAUAUGCAUAACGUGUACAAUGUGUAGUACCGUAAAAUACCAGUAAACGAAAAAGAAUUAAAAUGGAAAACACAAAAUUAAAUGAAAAAGAAAUCAUAAAACCAAAAACCCCACAACCAUUUAGUACCGGUUGGUGUUACCAACCGGUACUAAAGGGCUCCCGGCCCCCGGAGCUGGCUCGUGCCAUGUGGAUCCCCUUUAGCACCGGUCGGUACUAAAGGAGGGGGGCCUUUAGUGCCGAAACUUUAGUGUCGGUUCCAUAACCGGCACUAAAGGCCCUUACGAACCGGUGCUAAUGGUCCGUUUUCUACUAGUGGGCAUAUACUUGAUCACUUGGCUAGAAUCCAUCCAGUUGAAACUAAUUUGCGGUUUCUUUCACAAAUGAUAUAAUAACUUAUCAUCAUCAUCAUCAUCAUCAUCAUCAUCAUCAUCAUCAUCAUCAUCAUCAUAUUAAUAUAAAAACUCUUGCAUCAUAUAUAUCAUCACCAACAACAGUUUUCAUAGCUAGCUAAAAAUCAUCAUAUAAUAGUCGUCUCAUUACCACUACUUAAUCAUCAUAUAGUGAUUACCGCUAUCUAAUCACCACCAACACUACCUUAAAGAAGAAACAUUCACUUGUACCAGAAGCAAAAAUAUCAUCGAGUUCAACAUGGUAAUGAUAUUAUAAGCUUUCAUAACACGCCAAAAGCAAAUCACUCUUUGAGAUUAAGUUUAGGACGAAGAACACGGACAUGAGAGGACAAGUACUAAGAGCAUGAACUAGCUAAUCACUCCUGCUGCUCUCUCUCAGGUAAAAUAGCAUAGAACAUGUAUAGUUUUCCUGAUUCAUCAUAUUAGAGCAUGCAGAUGAACCUGUCUCCUAAUCGUGGGUUGCGCUUCUGAUUGCUACCCCCUAGUACUUCUCUGCGAUCGUUCACAAUUUUGCUCCAGUCUUUUAUUAUUAAGCAUUCCUCGCUAUUAGAAAACCUGAAUGCACUAAAGUGCAUUGUAAGAUUUCUUGGCCAUAAGCUAACAAUAUUCAUGGUACCUUUAGUCUCGAUCCAAUCAGGCACAACAUUCAUCAGGAGUCCCUGUUGAAGAACAUCGUAUAGUAACAUACUUAGCAAUGAAGUUUAGCUUAAAAAAAUAAUGUAUGCAAAAGAUGCACUGAGGAGAAAUAGUAGAAAUCUUAUCAUCUUUCAUAAAUAUAUGUGACCGUAGUUCAGUACGAACACUGUUGGUCGCACGUUUUGAGUACUAACAUUUCUAAGUGCGGAAUUUUUUUUGUCUUGACAACAUCAAGAUCCUCAAGCAUGAAACAUAAUGACUUGUCUCCUCGCAGUUUAGUUCAGCCCCGGGAUAGUGGACGGUCCUGUCUACUAAGCGCCGGACAUGUUUGCUCGAUUGGAAAUAAGCUGUCAAUAUAAAUUACUUGUCAACUCUUUUGAAUAAACAAUAUUGAAGACAUAAAUAUGGUUGAGAAACUCACAUAAUGGUAGAACUGGAGGCGCCUGCACAUCGACCCAGAUGUCUCUAUUAAUUUCAAUAUCAUCUUCCAGACGAAUAUCAAAGGUGAUAACCAUACCAGGCUCAAAUGCAUAAGCCUUGCAUAGUGUUUGCCAAGUUUUGCAUUCAAAAUAGGUGUAUGUGUCUGCAUUGUAUAAUUUGACGUUGAAGGUAUAACCACGCUCGGUCUUCAAGUAAACUCUUUUUACCUCCAUAGUUUUGUUAGGACUGAAACCUAUCUUAUCGAAGACAAAAAAAUUUGCAUGGCAGGGGAUACGCUAGUAGAAUAGUGAAAAAUUAAAAGCUGAAGCAAAUGAAGCAUAAGUCAUGCUUAAUUAUGAAAAAGACUUGUCGUUCUGACUUACUGUAUCCACUUCGAAAUUCUCAUCCAGCUUGAAGCUGAAGCGCCUAUCAUCAACUAGAAAAUUUCUGCCGCACAGGCCGGCGCUGGUCUUCGCAGUAUUCGCACAUAAUGAAAUCGUGUUCGUCGUCAGACGACAUUCCUAUGUUCAUAGGUGAAACAUUAAACACUUAUUAGUUCUAUUAAUUCAACUAAUUCAACUACUUCUGUUAAUUCAACUAAUUAAUUCAACUAAUUCAACUAAGCACUUACAAAAAAUAUACCUAAAUAAAGUAGCUCAACUAAUUCAACUAACUAGUUCAACUAAUUAAUUCAACUAAUUCAACUAAACUAGUUCUAUUAAUUUUCUUACUAAAAAUAAGGCAGCUNNNNNNNNNNNNNNNNNNNNNNNNNNNNNNNNNNNNNNNNNNNNNNNNNNNNNNNNNNNNNNNNNNNNNNNNNNNNNNNNNNNNNNNNNNNNNNNNNNNNNNNNNNNNNNNNNNNNNNNNNNNNNNNNNNNNNNNNNNNNNNNNNNNNNNNNNNNNNNNNNNNNNNNNNNNNNNNNNNNNNNNNNNNNNNNNNNNNNNNNNNNNNNNNNNNNNNNNNNNNNNNNNNNNNNNNNNNNNNNNNNNNNNNNNNNNNNNNNNNNNNNNNNNNNNNNNNNNNNNNNNNNNNNNNNNNNNNNNNNNNNNNNNNNNNNNNNNNNNNNNNNNNNNNNNNNNNNNNNNNNNNNNNNNNNNNNNNNNNNNNNNNNNNNNNNNNNNNNNNNNNNNNNNNNNNNNNNNNNNNNNNNNNNNNNNNNNNNNNNNNNNNNNNNNNNNNGAUUGGAUCAUCAAAUCUCAUAUACCUAAAUUUUCUUACUAAAAAUAACUAGUUCUAUUAAUUCAACUAAGAAUUUACUAAAAAUAAACUAGUUCUAUUAAUUUCUUACUAAAAUAUAUAAAGUAGCUCUAUAUAGUAAUAUUUUAAUUAGAUCAUCAAAUCUCAUACACCUAAAUUUCUCACUAAAAAUAAACUAAUACUAAUUCAACUAGCUAGUUCAACUAAGCAUUUACUAAAAAAUAAACUAGUUAUAUUAAUCCAACUAGUUCAAAUAAUCUCAUAUACCUAAUUAAUUAAUAUCUAGCUAAUUCAUCUAACAAUUGACAUUAAUAUUUAACUUCUCUAUCUAAUUCAUCUAACAUUUGUUGGAAAUAUGCCCUAGAGACAAUAAUAAAAUGGUUAUUAUUAUAUUUCUUUGUUCAUGAUAAUUGUCUAUUGUUCAUGCUAUAAUUGUGUUAUCUGGAAAUCGUAAUACAUGUGUGAAUACAUAGACCACAACACGUCCCUAGUGAGCCUCUAGUUGACUAGCUCGUUGAUCAAAAGAUAGUCAUGGUUUCCUGAUUAUGGACAUUAGAUGUCAUUGAUAACGGGAUCACAUCAUUAGGAGAAUGAUGUGAUGGAUAAGACCCAAUCGUAAGCAUAGCUCAAAGAUCAUGUAGUUCGUUUGCUAUAGCUUUCCCGAAUGUCAAGUACCAUUUCCUUAGACCAUGAGAUUGUGCAACUCCCAGAUACCGUAGGAGUGCUUUGCGUGUGCCAAACGUCACAACGUAACUGGGUGACUAUAAAGGUGCACUACGGGUAUCUCCGAAAGUGUCUGUUGGGUUGGCACGAAUCGAGACUGGGAUUUGUCACUCCGUAUGACGGAGAGGUAUCUCUGGGCCCACUCGGUAAUGCAUCAUCAUAAUGAGCUCAAUGUGACCAAGUGGUUGAUCACGGGAUCAUGCAUUACGGUACGAGUAAAGUGACUUGCCGGUAACGAGAUUGAACGAGGUAUUGGGAUACCGAUGAUCGAGUCUCGGGCAAGUAACGUACCGGUUGACAAAGGGAAUUGUAUACGGGAUUGAUUGAAUCCUCGACAUCGUGGUUCAUCCGAUGAGAUCAUCGAGGAGCAUGUGGGAGCCAACAUGGGUAUUCAGAUCCCGCUGUUGGUUAUUGACCGGAGAGUCAUCUCGGUCAUGUCUGCGUGUCUCCCGAACCCGUGGGGUCUACACACUUAAGGUAGGUGACGCUAGGGUUGUUGAGAUAUUAGUAUGCGGUAACCCAAAAGUUGUUUGGAGUCCCGGAUGAGAUCCCGGACGUCACGAGGAGUUCCGGAAUGAUCCGGAGGUGAAGAAUUUUAUAUAGGAAGUCCAGUUUCGGCCAUCGGAAAAGUUUCGGGGGUAAUCGGUAUUGUACCGGGACACCGGAAGGGUACCGGGGGUCCAACGGAUGGGGCCACCUAUUCCGAAGGGCCCCAUGGGCUGAAGCGGGAGGGAAACCAGCCCCUGGUGGGCUGGUGCGCCCCCCAUGGGCCUCCCCUGCGCCUAGGGUUGAAAACCCGUUGAAAACCCUAGGGGUGGGGGGCGCCCCACUUGGCUUGGGGGGGGCAAGCCACCCCCUUGCCCCCCCCUUGGAGAUCUCAUCUACUAGGGCCGGCGCCCUCCUAGGGGUCCUAUAUUUAGAUAUAUUAAAACCGUGCACUUUCCUAGCCCUCUCAAGCCACUGACGUUUCUAACCAUUGGAUCAUUUGUGAUGCUCAUUUUUGGCCGUGAGAUACUCUUAAAUAGCUUUAAGCGGACCAGAUGUCUCAUGGGCUGCUGCUCUCGUAACAAAAUCUGUGGUUUAUGGUUAAUCGGGCCUUUCUCGCUCAUGAAGCCCAUUUAACGUAUUCGUUUCCCAUCGACACCGGCCCACUUAGCACAAAGAAUAUCGCAAGGAAAAAAGAGCAGCCGAUUUGGGAAGGGCAACGUGCGGGUGAUGCGAAGAGAUAGCGACACGGCCCUUGUUCAGGGAGACAUUGAAUGGGAGACACUGAAGGGGUAGUGAUGCGGCAUCGUGGGCGAUUGGAGUACGUCUGCUGGUAUUCGAGCAAGGAGUAAUGUUGCCAUUGCUAAAAUCCAUUAAUGCCAAUGGAGGUGCGCUACUCGCCGGCCUGCUCCCCGCUUCCUUUAUUUAGCACGCUCGGGGGCACACCUCCCACCUCCGCCGCCCUUGACCUCGACUGCGGCGCCCACCUCUACUCACCAGCAUCCUACCGCGAUGACGUCCAAGAGAGCUGCCACACUUCUGAUAUAGCUCCAUGCUGCCAGUGGCAUUCGAUUCAGUAGCACCAUGGCGGGCUGCAGGGCGUCUCCGGUCACCACGAGCCCCAAAGCCACCAGAUCAGACACCCCAAGGCAUAUAUCCAGUGGGGAAGUAGAUCAAAAUGUAUUCCAACUCUAUUUCACGCCCCACCCCCCGGGUCUUUGCCCUCCUUCUUCAUCCACCUUCUCUCAUAGCAGUCCGCCUACGUCUACAGUUUGUUUGGGCAGCGAGGUGUUGUGUUUGUCAGGAUACGUGUGAUUCCUGUUUCUGCAUAUAUCUCUUGUUUUUCUUUUGUGUUACAUUUGUUUGUAUUUUUUUUGUACAUUGGACAUGAAGGAUUUCUGUGCUGCAGACUAAACAGAGGCCUUCAUUUGUUCAGUUCUUAUUGCUGAAGCCCCAAAGUUUGCUGGUUCAGCAAAGAUUGGGAGGAUAAGCACUGUACAUGUUUCAGGUUUGCUUCAGGCAUGAAACAUUGAACUAAAUAUCAAUAUUUUAGAUAAAUUAAAUAUCAUUUGGAAUUAGCAUAAAGUUCUUGCUGCAGGUGACAAGUUUGGUUCGGACUGUGCAGAUGUCCGGGACAUGAUUUUGUUCCUUGCAUUAGCUUUAUGCCACUUCUAAUCCAGUCUGCUCACCGAAAGCAUGGUCGUAAUUUUUCAGGCAAGUUCACAAUGGGAAGAAUCAGAUGUUGAAAGAUUUUGUAUACCCAUGCAAAAAUUGUACUAUUAUGAUUAUCUACAGAAGUCGAAUUUGAGACCCAUAAAUCUUAGAAACCUCAGUCGUAUUAUCAUUAGCACAUAUUAUUUGAAUAAAUAUGCUCAAACGAUAAACAAUUAAUAGCUAUUUCUUCACCAGGUGGCAUACAGUAUCUAGUCCACUGUGUGUUGAAUUUAGUAAACAAGCAUCACCACUAUUGCCGUCACAUUGUACAUUUUCAUAUACUUGUAUACAUCAACCAAGCUAAAUUCAUAUGGAACUCAGUAGAUUAGUGCAGCGAGGAGUUGUGAUGCUUAACAGAAGGUGGAGCGCAAUGCAAGAAUCACUCAAGUUCUCUUUCUUACAAGAAGGGCCAUUCAUCGAGAUGGGCCCUUAUAUUUGGUGGAAGGAGUUGGAGUUGCUAAAACACUUGGAAAGGGAGACCAAUGCUCCAAACAUUCAGUUACGAAUCUAAAGAGUUUUAGGAAGGGGGUGAACCAAAUGUUAAUCCAAUAGUAUAUACAUAAUGAGCUUAAUGGCUGUAAUUAUUGUGCCUCAAGUUAUUUUCCUUAUGAUGCAUUUACACAGGAUGAACGUAUCAAUUGAUACUAGCAAGAGGUCCUGUUUUGGAAAAAAUCAUUACACAAUAUCAAAUGACGACUGCCCAUUUGUCCUACUAGCCAAAUAAUGACGAGGUUAUGUUCAAGCUGAAGAGUUCCUAAGUAUAAUUCUUAGAACGAGAUCUAAAAAAUUAUAAUGAUUUGGACUAAGCCUUUAGGUUGAGUUGGCUCAUGUACUAACUUUCAUGUUGAGGUAUAGUUCUAUAAAUUACCAAUAUAUAAUAUAUUGAAGCAACCUAACUUUGUAAUCAGUUGCAAGUGGCCUCUCUUUCUGUUAGUAACAUAUGAUAAUUAUGUUUCAUCUUAUAUUCUGGUGGCAAAAAAUGUCAGUCAGAGGUAUGCAUUUGUUUGUUAACGGAGAAGUAAAUGUCAAUUGAAUAUACAUAUUGAAAUAGCACAUCACAUAUAAAAUGAAGUGAAUAAAUCAUAACUUUGAUUUUUGAAUUAUUCUUGGUUCUGCUUUCACUCUUACAGGGUUAAAGGAAUUGUCCUAGCAAUUUCUUCACAAGGCACACUAAACGCUUUCGACCAUGUAUCAUGUAUUGGUUAUUUUGUAAUAAUUAAUUGAAGGCAAAUUUGUAUUCGCACUUGCUGUUUUUUAGAUCUUUUAGUACUUGUCCCGAUUUAAAACACUACACUUUGAAGACACCGUGAGCCAAAAGAGGCCACGAUAUGCCACAAACACAUGUAUCGACCGUCCUAAUUCAAAGCACAUACAAUUGAAAGCCAAGCUCAAACCAAGUAUAUUUGAUCUAAUAAGAAAAAAAGAGAAAAGUUCAACAAACCACUAUCUUGGUAACGUAUCAGAUUCUUCUUCAUUGCAAUAUUUUUUUAAAUGAAGCAGACAAGCACAAGCUACAACAAAGUACGAUACUUCAAAGCAUUCCCAACAAAUAUAUACAAAUUACUUUAUAUCCUUAAUAACUAAGAGAUAAAAUAGACGGGUGCAGCAACGCGCGCCAUCNNNNNNNNNNNNNNNNNNNNNNNNNNNNNNNNNNNNNNNNNNNNNNNNNNNNNNNNNNNNNNNNNNNNNNNNNNNNNNNNNNNNNNNNNNNNNNNNNNNNNNNNNNNNNNNNNNNNNNNNNNNNNNNNNNNNNNNNNNNNNNNNNNNNNNNNNNNNNNNNNNNNNNNNNNNNNNNNNNNNNNNNNNNNNNNNNNNNNNNNNNNNNNNNNNNNNNNNNNNNNNNNNNNNNNNNNNNNNNNNNNNNNNNNNNNNNNNNNNGGGGGGGAGGGCAGCCGCACCCUAGCCCCUGGCGCCUCUCUCUCCCUCCCAUGACACCUCUCCCUCUCGUUGAGCUUGGCGAAGCCCUACCGAGAUCACCACUGUUUUCACCACCACGCCGUCAUGCUGCUGGAUCUCCAUUAACCUCUCCUUCUCCCUUGCUGGAUCAAGUUGGAGGAGACGUCUUCCCAACCGUACAUGUGUUAAACACGGAGGUGCCGUCCAUUCGGCGCUAGGUCAUCGGUGAUUUGGAUCAUGACGAGUACGACUCCAUCAACCCCGUUCUCUUGAACGCUUCCGCUUGCGAUCUACAAGGGUAUGUAGAUGCACUCCCCUAUUCCUCGUUGCUAGAUGACUCCAUAGAUUGAUCUUGGUGAUGCAUAGAAAAUUUUAAAAUUCUGCUACGGUCCCCAACAGUGGUAUCAGAGCUAGGUCUAUGCGUAGUUUCUAUGCACGAGUAGAACACACAACAGUUGUGGGCGUUGAUAUUGUCAAUUUACUUGCCGUUACUAGUCUUAUCUUGAUUCAGCGGCAUCAUGGGAUGAAGCGGUCCGGACCGACCUUACACGUACGCUUACGUGAGACUGGUUCCACCGACUGACAUACACUAGUUGCAUAAGGUGGCUAGCGGGUGUAUGUCUCUCCCACUUUAGUCGGAUCGGAUUCGAUGAAAAGAGUCCUUAUGAAGGGUAAAUAGAAAUUGGCAUAUCACGUUGUGGUUUUGGCGUAGGUAAGAAACGUUCUUGCUAGAAACCUAUAGCAGCCACGUAAAAACUUGCAACAACUAUUAGAGGACGUCUAACUUGUUUUUGCAGCAUGUGUCGUGUGAUGUGAUAUGGCCAAAAGGAUGUGAUGAAUGAUAUAUGUGAUGUAUGAGAUUGAUCAUGUUCUUAUAAUAGGAAUCACGACUUGCAUGUCGAUGAGUAUGACAACCGGCAGGAGCCAUAGGAGUUGUCUUAAUUUAUUUAUGACCUGCGUGUCAACAUAAACGUCAUGUAAUUACUUUACUUUAUUGCUAAAGCGUUAGCCAUAGUAGUAGAAGUAAUAGAUGACGAGACAACUUCAAGAAGACACGAUGAUGGAGAUCAUGAUGAUGGAGAUCAUGGUGUCAUGCCGGUGACAACGAUGAUCAUGGAGCCCCAAAGAUGGAGAUCAAAAGGAGCAAAUGAUAUUGGCCAUAUCAUGUCACUAUUUGAUUGCAUGUGAUGUUUAUCAUGUUUUACAUCUUAUUUGCUUAGAACAAUGGUAGUUUAAAUAAGAUGAUCCCUCGUAAUAAUUUCAAGAAAGUGUUCCCCCUAACUGUGCACCAUUGUGAAGGUUCGUUGUUUCGAAGCACCACGUAAUGAUCGGGUGUGAUAGAUUCUAAUGUUCGAAUACAACGGGUGUAAGCCAGAUUUACACACGCAAUACACUUAGGUUGACUUGACGAGCCUAGCAUGUACAGACAUGGCCUCGAAACACGGAAGACCGAAAGAUCGAGCAUGAGUCGUAUAGAAGAUACGAUCAACAUGAAGAUGUUCACCGGUGUUGACUAGUCCGUCUCACGUGAUGAUCGGACACGGCCUAGUUGACUCGGAUCAUGUUUCACUUAGAUGACCAGAGGGAUGUCUAUCUGAGUGGGAGUUCAUUGAAUAAUUUGAUUAGAUGAACUUAAUUAUCAUGAACUUAGUCUAAAAUCUUUAUAUUAUGUCUUGUAGAUCAAAUGGCCCACGCUAAUGUUGCCCUCAACUUCAACGCGUUCCUAGAGAAAACCAAGCUGAAAGAUGAUGGCAGUAACUAUACGGACUGGGUCCAGAACCUGAGGAUCAUCCUCAUAGCUGCCAAGAAAGAUUAUGUCCUAGAAGCACCGCUAGGUGACACACCCAUCCCAGAGAACCAAGACGUUAUGAACGCUUGGCAGUUACGUGCUAAUGAUUACUCCCUCGUUCAGUGCGUCAUGCUUUACAGCUUAGAACCGGUGCUCCAAAAGUGUUUUGAGAGACACGGAGCAUAUGAGAUGUUCGAAGAGCUGAAAAUGGUUUUCCAAGCUCAUGCCCGGGUCGAGAGAUAUGAAGUUUUCGACAAGUUCUUCAGUUGUAAGAUGGAGGAAAAUAGUUCUGUCAGUGAGCACAUACUCAAAAUGUUUGGGUUGCAUAACUGCUUGACUCACCUGGGAGUUAAUCUCCUAGAUGAGACGGUCAUUGACAGAAUCCUUCAGUCGCUUCCAUCGAGCUACAAGAGCUUUGUGAUGAACUUCAAUAUGCAGGGGAUGGAAAAGACCAUUCUUGAGGUAUAUUCAAUGCUGAAAUCAGCGGAGGUGGAGAUCAAAAAGGAACAUCAAGUGUUGAUGGUGAAUAAAACCACUAAGUUUAAGAAAGGCAAGGGUAAAAAGAACUUCAAGAAGGACGACAAGGGGGUUGCCGCGCCCGGUAAGCAAGCUGCCGGGAAGAAGCCAAAGAAUGGACCCAAGCCCGAGACUGAGUGUUUUUAUUGCAAGGGAAGUGGUCACUGGAAGCGGAACUGCCCCAAAUACUUAGCGGACAAGAAGGCCGGCAACACUAAAGGUAUAUGUGAUAUACAUGUGAUUGAUGUGUACCUUACCAGUACUCGUAGUAGCUCCUGGGUAUUUGAUACCGGUGCGGUUGCUCACAUUUGUAACUCAAAGCAGGAGCUGCGGAAUAAGCGGAGACUCGCGAAGGACGAGGUGACGAUGCGCGUCGGGAAUGGUUCCAAGGUCGAUGUGAUCGCCGUCAGCACGCUACCUCUACAUUUACCUACGGAAUUAGUUUUAAACCUCAAUAAUUGUUAUUUAGUGCUAGCUUUGAGCAUGAACAUUGUAUCAGGAUCUCGUUUAAUUUGAGAUGGUUGUUCUAUUUAUAUGAGAGAUAUGUUUUAUGGUCAUGCCCCGCUGGUGAAUGGUUUAUUCUUAAUAAAUCUCGAGCAUAAUGUUACACAUAUUCAUAAUGUGAAUACCAAAAGAAGUAAGGUUGAUAAUGAUAGUCCCACAUACUUGUGGCACUGCCGCCUUGGUCACAUAGGUGUCAAACACAUGAAGAAGCUCCAUGCAGAUGGACUUUUGGAGUUUCUUGAUUAUGAAUCAUUUGACACGUGCGAACCAUGCCUCAUGGGUAAAAUGACCAAUAGUCCGUUCUCAGGAACAAUGGAGCGAGAAACCAACUUACUGGAAAUCAUACAUACUGAUGUGUGCGGUGCAAUGAGUAUUGAGGCACGCGGUGGCUAUCGUUAUGUUCUCACCCUCACUGAUGACUUGAGUAGAUAUGGGUAUGUCUACUUAAUGAAACACAAGUCUGAGACCUUUGAAAAGUUCAAGGAAUUUCAGAGUGAGGUUGAGAAUCAACGUGACAGAAAAAUCAAGUUCUUGCGAUCAGAUCGUGGGGGAGAAUACUUGAGUCACGAAUUUGGCACGCACUUAAGAAAAAUGUGGAAUAGUUUCACAACUCACGCUGCCUGGAACACCUCAGCGUAAUGGUGUGUCCAAACGUCGUAAUCGCACUCUAUUGGAUAUGGUGCGAUCUAUGAUGUCUCUUACGGAUCUACCGCUGUCAUUUUGGGGCUAUGCUUUAGAGACUGCCGCAUUCACUUUAAAUAGGGCUCCGUCGAAAUCCGUUGAGACGACACCGUAUGAAUUAUGGUUUGGGAAGAAACCUAAGCUGUCGUUUCUAAAAGUUUGGGGAUGCGAUGCUUAUGUCAAGAAACUUCAACCUGAAAAGCUCGAACCCAAAUCGGAAAAAUGCGUCUUCAUAGGAUACCCUAAAGAAACUAUUGGGUAUACCUUCUACCUCAGAUCCAAAGGCAAGAUCUUUGUUGCCAAGAAUGGAUCCUUUCUAGAGAAAGAGUUUCUCUCGAAAGAAGUAAGUGGGAGGAAAGUAGAACUUGAUGAAGUAUUGCCUCUUGAACCGGAGAGUGGCGCAGCUCAAGAAAAUAUUCCUGAGGUGCCUGCACCGACUAGAGAGGAAGUUAAUGAUGAUCAUCAUGAAACUUCAGAUCAAGUUGCUAAUGAACUUCGUAGGUCCAUGAGGACACGUUUUGCACCAGAGUGGUACGGCAACCCUGUCCUGGAAAUCAUGUUUUUAGACAAUGGUGAACCUUUGAACUAUGAAGAAGCGAUGGCGGGCCCAGAUUGUGACAAAUGGCUGGAAGCCAUGAAAUCCGAGAUAGGAUCCAUGUAUGAAAACGAAGUAUGGACUUUGACUGACUUGCCCGAUGAUCGGCGAGCCAUAGAAAAUAAAUGGAUCUUUAAGAAGAAGACAGACGCGGAUGGUAAUGUAACCAUCUAUAAAGCUCGGCUUGUCGCUAAGGGUUAUCGACAAGUUCAAGGGGUUGACUACGAUGAGACUUUCUCACCCAUAGCGAAGCUGAAGUCCGUCUAAAUCAUGUUAGCAAUUGCCGCAUUCUAUGAUUAUGAGAUAUGGCAAAUGGACGUCAAAACGGCAUUCCUUAAUGGUUUCCUUAAGGAAGAAUUGUAUAUGAUGCAGCCGGAAGGUUUUGUCGAUCCUAAGAAUGCUGACAAGGUGUGCAAGCUCCAACGCUCGAUUUAUGGGCUGGUGCAAGCAUCUCGGAGUUGGAACAUUCGUUUUGAUGAGAUGAUCAAAGCAUUUGGGUUUACGCAGACUUAUGGAGAAGCCUGCAUUUACAAGAAAGUGAGUGGGAGCUCUGUAGCAUUUCUCAUAUUGUAUGUGGAUGACAUACUGUUGAUGGGAAAUGAUAUAGAAUUCUUGGAAAGCAUAAAGGCCUACUUGAACAAGUGUUUUUCAAUGAAGGAUCUUGGAGAAGCUGCUUACAUAUUAGGCAUCAAGAUCUAUAGAGAUAGAUCGAGACGCCUCAUUGGUCUUUCACAGAGUAAGUACCUUGACAAGAUAUUGAAGAAGUCCAAUAUGGAUCAGUCAAAGAAGGAGUUCUUGCAUGUAUUGCAAGGUACGACAUUGAGCACAGCUCAAUGCCCGACCAUGACAGAAGAUAAAGAAAAGAUGAGUGUCGUCCCCUAUGCCUCGGCCAUAGGGUCUAUCAUGUAUGCUAUGCUGUGUACCAGACCUGAUGUAAACCUUGCCUUAAGUUUGGUAGGAAGGUACCAAAGUAAUCCUGGCAUGGAACACUGGACAGCGGUCAAGAAUAUCCUGAAGUACCUGAAGAGGACUAAGGAUAUGUUUCUCGUUUAUGGAGGUGACGAAGAGCUCGUCCUAAAGGGAUACAUCGAUGCUAGCUUCGACACAGAUCUGGAUGACUCCAAGUCACAAACCGGAUACGUGUAUAUUUUGAAUGGUGGGGCAGUAAGCUGGUGCAGUUGCAAGCAAAGUGUUGUAGCGGGAUCUACAUGUGAAGCGGAGUGCAUGGCAUCCUCGGAGGCAGCACAAGAAGCAAUCUGGGUGAAUGAGUUCAUUGCCGACCUAGGAGUCAUUCCCAAUGCGUCGGGCCCGAUGACUCUCUUCUGUGACAACACUGGAGUUAUUGCCCUUGCCAAGGAGCCCAGGUUUCACAGGAAGACCAGGCAUAUCAAGCGUCGCUUCAACUCCAUUCGUGAAAGUGUUCAAAAUGGACACAUAGAUAUUUGUAAAGUACAUACGGACCUGAAUAUAGCAGAUCCGUUGACUAAACCUCUCCCUAGAGCAAAACAUGAUCAACACCAGAACUCUAUGGGUGUUCAAUUCAUCACAAUGUAACUAGAUUAUUGACUCUAGUGCAAGUGGGAGACUAUUGGAAAUAUGCCCUAGAGGCAAUAAUAAAAUGGUUAUUAUUAUAUUUCUUUGUUCAUGAUAAUUGUCUAUUGUUCAUGCUAUAAUUGUGUUAUCUGGAAAUCGUAAUACAUGUAUGAAUACAUAGAUCACAACACGUCCCUAGUGAGCCUCUAGUUGACUAGCUCGUUGAUCAAAAGAUGGUCAUGGUUUCCUAACUAUGGACAUUGGAUGUCAUUGAUAACGGGAUCACAUCAUUAGGAGAAUGAUGUGAUGGACAAGACCCAAUCGUAAGCAUAGCUCAAAGAUCGUGUAGUUCGUUUGCUAUAGCUUUUCUGAAUGUCAAGUAUCAUUUCCUUAGCCCAUGAGAUUGUGCAACUCCCGGAUACUGUAGGAGUGCUUUGGGUGUGCCAAACUUCACAACGUAACUGGGUGACUAUAAAGGUGCACUACGGGUAUCUCCGAAAGUGUCUGUUGGGUUGGCACGAAUCGAGAUUGGGAUUUGUCACUCCGUAUGAAGGAGAGGUAUCUCUGGGCCCACUCGGUAAUGCAUCAUCAUAAUGAUGACCAAGUGGUUGAUCACGGGAUCAUGCAUUACGGUACGAGUAAAGUGACUUGCCGGUAAUGAGAUUGAACGAGGUAUUGGGAUACCGACAAUCGAGUCUCGGGAAAGUAACGUACCGAUUGACAAAGGGAAUUGUAUACGGGAUUGAUUGAAUCCUCGACAUCAUGGUUCAUCCGAUGAGAUCAUCGAGGAGCAUGUGGGAGCCAACAUGGGUAUCCAGAUCCCGCUGUUGGUUAUUGACCGGAGAGCCGUCUCGGUCAUGUCUGCGUGUCUCCCGAACCCGUAGGGUCUACACACUUAUGGUUAGGUGAUGCUAGGGUUGUUGAGAUAUUAGUAUGCGGUAACCCGAAAGUUGUUCGGAGUCCCGGAUGAGAUCCCAGACGUCACGAGGAGUUCCGAAAUGGUCCGAAGGUGAAGAAUUAUAUAUAGGAAGUCCAGUUUCGGCCAUCGGGAAAGUUUCGGGGGUAAUCGGUAUUGUACCGGGACCACCGGAAGGGUCCCGGGGGUCCAACGGGUGGGGCCACCUAUCCCGGAGGGCCCCAUGGGAUGAAGUGGGAGGGGAACCAGCCCCUGGUGGGCUGUUGCGCCCCCCCAUGGGCCUCCCCUGCGCCUAGGGUUGAAAACCCAAGGGGUGGGGGCGCCCCACUUGGCUUGGGGGGCAAGCCACCCCCUUGGCCGCCCCCUCCCUUGGAGAUCGCAUCUCCUAGGGCCGGCUCCCCCCUAGGGGUCCUAUAAAUAGUGGGGGGAGGGAGGGCAGCCGCACCCUAGCCACUGGCGCCUCUCUCUCCCUCCCGUGACACCUCUCCCUCACCUAGGUUAGCUCAUAAACGAACCAUUUCACCUAGGUUAGCUCAUAAACGACCCAUUUCACCUAACUUAGCUCCAAAAUGAUCCAUUUCACCUAGGAUAGCUCAUAAACUACCCAUUUCACCUAGGUUAGCUCAUAAAUGAUACAUUUCACCUAAGUUAGCUAAUAAAUGGCAUAUACUUCUUCUUCUAGUCUUCUUCUUCUUCUUCUUCUAUUCUUCUUCUUCUAUUCUUUUUCUUCUAGUCUAAUUCUUCUUCUAGUCUUCUUUUUCUAACUUUCUUAUUUGUCAUUUUGCAGGUUUCAUUCACUUCACGGAAGCCAGCUUCCUAUGAUGGAUUGCUUGUUUUUUCCUUUGAUGCACUUCUUGUAUUCUGCUCGCUUGCUAUGAUGAAACUAGAUUGCUAUGAUGAAACUUUGCAUAUUGUAAUAUGUAUGGAUCGAUGGAACUAUGUGCAACCUACUAUGUAUGUAUGGAUGGAUAUUUAUUAUGUUGGAUAUAUAUGUGCUGGAUAUUUGUGUGAUGGAUAUAUAUGUGCUGUGAUAUAUUUGCUGUGAUAAUUGUUGGAUAUAAGAAAAACAGAAUAAAAAAGAGGCAGUGCAGGCUCUUUGCCAUCCGCGGAAGACGGCAAAGACCCCUUUGCCGUUGGUGGCAGACGGCAAAGGGGGCACGUGGUGCCCACCUGUGCUUCCUGAGGGAUGGGCCAUUUGACAAAUUUGCCUACCGUGGCGGACGGCAAAGCUAAGUUGAUGGCAAAGACUUUGCCUUUGCUGUCGGCCGGGUAGACGGCAAAACACAGUGGGCGCUGACGUAUUGCUGACGUCAACUGGCGGACGACAAAGAGGCGCUCAAAUUUGUCGUCCGCUGGCGGACGGCAAAGGCCGCCAUUAGCCGCCUAACGGACUAACGUCCAGUAUUUUGCCGUCCCUCCUCUUUGCCGUCCGCCGCUGUAGGCAAAGGGCUCUUUGCCGUCCGCCAUAAAAAGCAGACGACAAAGGACCUGUUUGCCGACCCUGUCUUUGCCGUCACUGUUUGCCGUCCGAGCUUUGCCGUCAGCCAUCCGUGCCUUUGCCGUCUGCCGUGGCAGACGACAAAGUACUGGAUUCCUGUAGUGAUUGUACCUGAAAUCAGGGUCUUAGUCAUCCUGCCCAUGAAGCAUGGCUCGCAUGUGUCAAGCGAUUCAAAAUCAAGUGACUCCAAACAUCCAUCGAUAUGGAGUUUCUUCAUGCAUCUUACACCAAUAUGACCUAAGAUGCAGUGCCACAAGAAAGUGGUACUAUCAUUAUUAACUCUACAUCUUUUGGCGUGAACAUGUGUAUUACCACGACCGAGAUUCAAUGAACCAUUCACAUAGGGUGCAUGACCAUGAAAGGUAUUAUUCAUGUAAACAGAAUAACCAUUAUUCUCUAAUUUAAAUGAAUAACCGUAUUGCAAUGAACAUGAUCUAAUCAUAUUCAUGCUCAACGUAGACACCUGAUAACAUUUAUCUAGGUUCAAUACUAAUCCCGAAGGCAGAUGGAGCGUGCGAUGGUGAUCUCAUCAACUUUGGAAAUACUUUCAACACACAUUGUCACCUCGCCCUUAGCCAGUCUCCGUUUAGUCCGUAGCUUUUGCUUCAAGUCACCAAUAAUAGCAACUGAACCGGUAUCCAAUACCCAGGUGCUACCACGAGUACUAGUGAGGUACACAUUAAUAACACGUAUAUACUUUGAAGUUGCCAGCCUUCUUAUCUACCAUGCAUUUGGGGUAAUUCCGCUACCAGUGACCGUUCCCCUUACAAUAGAAGCAUUUAGUCUCGGUUUUGGGUUCAACCUUGGGUUCCUUCACUGGAGCGGCAACUGGUUUGCCAUCCAUGAAGUUUCCCUUCUAGCCCUUGCCCUUCUUGAAACUAGUGGUAUUGUCAAACCAUCAACACUUGAUGCUCCUUCUUGAUUUCUACCCUUUUGCGGUCUUAAGCACCGCGAAUAGCUCCAGGAUCAACUCCAUCCCUUGCAUGUCAUAGUUCAUCACGAAGAUCUAGUAGCUUAGUGAUAGUGGCUAGAGAACUCUAUCAAUCACUAUCUUAUCUGGAAGUUUAACUCCCACUUGAUUUAAGUGAUUGUAGCACCCAGACAUUCUGAGCACAUGCUCACUAGCUGAGCUAUUCUCCUCCAUCUUGUUGGCAAAAGAACUUGUCAGAGGUUUCACACCUCUCAACACAGGCAUGAGCCUGAAAUCCCAAUUUCAGCUCUUGGAACAUCUCAUAUGUUCUAUGGCGUUCAAAACGUCAUUGGAAUCCUGAUUCUAAGCCGUAAAGUAUGGUGCACUAAACUAUCAAGUAGUCAUCAGGAUGUGUCUGUCAGGUGUUCACAACAUCCACAGACGACGUUGUAGGGGUUUGCACAUCGAGCGGUGCAUCAAAGACAUAAGCUAUCUGUGUAGCAGUGAGGACACUCCUCGGACUACGGACCCAGUCUGCAUCAUUGCUUACAAUAUCUUUCAACUUAAUCUUUCUCUAGGAACGUAUUGAAAUAGGGAGCUACAACGUGAGCUAUUUAUCUACAACAUAUUUGCAAAGACAAUUUAGACUAUGUUCAUGAUAAUUGAGUUCAUCUAAUCAAAUUAUUUAAUGAACUCCCACUCAGAUAGACAUCCCUAUAGCCAUCUAAGUGAAACAUGAUCCGAAUCGACUAGGCCGUGUCCGAUCAUCACGUGAGACGGACUAGUCAUCAACGGUGAACAUCUCAUGUUGAUCGUAUCUUCUAUACGACUCAUGUUCGACCUUUCGGUCUUCGUGUUCCGAGGCCAUGUCUGUACAUGCUAGGCUCGUCAAGUCAACCUAAGUGUUUCGCAUGUGUCCCGAGGCCAUGUCUGUACAUGCUAGGCUCGUCAACACCCGUUGUAUUCGAACGUUAGAAUCUAUCACACCCGAUCAUCACGUGGUGCUUCGAAACAACGAACCUUCGCAAUGGUGCACAGUUAGGGGGAACACUUUUCUUGAAAUUUUAGUGAGGGAUCAUCUUAUUUAAGCUACCGUCGUUCUAAGAAAAUAAGAUGUAAAACAUGAUAAACAUCACAUGCAAUCAAAUAGUGACAUGAUAUGGCCAAUAUCAGUUGCUCCUUUUGAUCUCCAUCUUCGGGGCUCCAUGAUCAUCGUUGUCACCGGCAUGACACCAUGAUCUCCAUCAUCAUGAUCUCCAUCAUCGUGUCUUCUUGAAGUUGUCUCGUCAUCUAUUACUUCUACUAGUAUGGCUAAUGCUUUAGCAAUAAAGUAAAGUAAUUACAUGACGUUUAUGUUGACACGCAGGUCAUAAAUAAAUUAAGACAACUCCUAUGGCUCCUGCCGGUUGUCAUACUCAUCGACAUGCAAGUCGUGAUUCCUAUUACAAGAACAUGAUCAAUCUCAUACAUCACAUAUAUCAUUCAUCACAUCCUUUUGGCCAUAUCACAUCACACGGCACAUGCUGCAAAUACAAGUUAGACGUCCUCUAAUAGUUGUUGCAAGUUUUUACGUGGCUGCUAUAGGUUUCUAGCAAGAACGUUUCUUACCUACGCGAAAACCACAAUGUGAUAUGCCAAUUUCUAUUUACCCUUCAUAAGGACCCUUUUCAUCGUAUCCGAUCCGACUAAAGUGGGAGAGACAGACACCCGCUAGCCACCUUAUGCAACUAGUGCAUGUCAGUCGGUGGAACCAGUCUCAUGUAAGAGUACGUCUAAGAUCGGUCCGGGCCGCUUCAUCCCAUGAUGCCACCGAAUCAAGAUAAGACUAGUAACGGCAAGUAAAUUGACAAUAUGGACGCCCACAACUUCUUUGUGUUCUACUCGUGCAUAGAAACUACGCAUAGACCUAGCUCAUGAUGCCACUGUUGGGGAUCGUAGCAGAAAUUUAAAAUUUUCUACGCAUCACCAAGAUCAAUCUAUGGAGUAAUCUAGCAACGAGGGGAAGGAGAGUGCAUCUACAUACCCUUGUAGAUCGCUAAGUGGAAGCUUUCAAGUGAACGGGGUUGAUGGAGUCGUACUCGUCGUGAUCCAAAUCACCGAUGAUCCUAGCGCCGAACGGACGGCACCUCCGCGUUCAACACACAUACGGAACGGAGACGUUUUCCACGCCUUGAUCCAGCAAGGAGGAAGGACAGGUUGAGGAAGAGAGUCCAACAGCAGCACGAUGGCGUGGUGGUGAUGGAGUGGCUGUUCUCCGGCAGGGCUUCGCCAAGCUCACGCGGAGGAGGAGAGGUAUUGGAGGGGAGGGGCUGCGCCAGGUUCAAGGGUGUGGCCGCCCUCCCACCCCUCCACUAUUUAUAGGUGGGGAGAGAGGGGGCCGGCCCCCCUAGAUCCCAUCUAGGGUUGGGGGCGGCGGCCAAGGGGGGAGGAGUGCCUCCCAAGUCAAGUGGAGGCCCUCCCCCUUAGGGUUUCCCCUCUCCCAUGCGCAUGGGCCUUGGGGGGCUGGUGCCCUUGGCCCAUUAAGGUUAGGGUGCCCCCCUACAGCCCAUGCUGCUGUAUUGGACGUGGUGGAACAUUUUCCGGACCUCCGGACCCCUCCUGAAUCCUCCGGAACCUUCCGGAAGCUUCCCGGUACAAUACCGGAAAAAACCGAACUUUUCCCGGAACUCGAACAACAACUUUCCAUAUAUAAAUAUUUACCUCCGGACUAUUCCAGAACUCCUCGUGACGUCCGGGAUCUCAUCCGGGACUCCGAACAACAUUCGGUAAUCACAUACAAGUCUUCCUAAUAACCCUACCGUCAUCGAACCUUAAGUGUGCCCUACGGGUUCGGGAACCAUGCAGACAUGACCGAGACAACUCUCCGGCCAAUAACCAACAGCGGGAUCUGGAUACCCAUGUUGGCUCCCACAUGUUCCACGAUGAUCUCAUCGGAUGAACCACGAUGUUGAGGAUUCAAUCAAUCCCGUAUUCAAUUCCCUUUGUCCAGCGGUAUUGUACUUGCCCGAGAUUCGAUCGUCGGUAUCCCGAUACCUUGUUCAAUCUCGUUACCGGCAAGUCUCUUUACUCGUUCCAUAACACAUCAUCCCGUGAUCAACUCCUUGGUCACAUUGUGCACAUUAUGAUGAUGUCCUACCGAGUGGGCCCAGAGAUACCUCUCCGUUUACAUGGAGUGACAAAUCUCAGUCUCGAUUUGUGCCAACCCAACAGACACUUUCGGAGAUACCUGUAGUGUACCUUUAUAGCCACCCAGUUACGUUGUGACGUUUGGCACACCCAAAGCACUCCUACGAUAUCCGGGAGUUGCACAAUCUCAUGGUCUAAGGAAAUGAUACUUGACAUUAGAAAAGCUUUAGCAAACGAACUACACGAUCUUGUGCUAGGAUUAGGAUUGGGUCUUGUCCAUCACAUCAUUCUCCUAAUGAUGUGAUCCCGUUAUCAACGACAUCCAAUGUCCAUGGUCAGGAAACCGCAACCAUCUAUUGAUUAACGAGCUAGUCAACUAGAGGCUUACCAGGGACAUGGUGUUGUCUAUUUAUCCACACAUGUAUAUGAGUUUCCUAUCAAUACAAUUCUAGCAUGGAUAAUAAACGAUUAUCAUGAACAAUGAAAUAUGAUAUAAUAAUAACUAAUUUAUUAUUGCCUCUAGGGCAUAUUUCCAACAGUCUCCCACUUGCACUAGAGUCAAUAAUCUAGUUCACAUCGCCAUGUGAUUAACACUCACAGGUCACAUCGCCAUGUGACCAACAUCCAAAGAGUUUACUAGACUCAAUAAUCUAGUUCACAUCACUAUGUGGUUAACACUCAAUGAGUUUUGGGUUUGAUCAUGUUAUGCUUGUGAGAGAGGUUGUAGUCAACGGGUCUUGCCAUAUUCAGAUCCCUAUGUAUUUCGCAAAACUUUAUGUCAUACCGUAGAUGGCUACCACGUUCCACUUGGAGCUAUUCCAAAUUGUUGCUCCAUUAUACGUAUCCGGUAUCUCUACUCAGAGCUAUCCGGAUAGUUGUUAAGCUUGCAUCGACGUAACUCUUUACGUCGAACUCUUUAUCAUAUCCAUAACCGAGAAACAUUUCCUUAUUCCUCUAAGGAUAAUUUCGACCGCUAUCUGGUGAUCCAGUCCUAGAUCACCUUUGUACCCUCUUGCCAGACAUGUGGAAAGGCACACAUCAGGUGCGGUACUCAGCAUGGCAUACCGUAUAGAGCCUAUGACACCUUUCUUCUGCCGUGGUCAAGCUUUGAGUCUUACUCAACUUCACACCUUACAACUCAGGCAAGAACCCCUUCUUUGACUGAUCUAUUUUGAACUCCUUCAAAAACAUGUCAAGGUGUGCAUUCUUUGAAAGUAUCAUCAGGCGUCUUGAUCUAUCUCUAUAGAUCUUGAUGCCCAAUUUGUAAGCAGCUUUAUCCAGGUCUUCCUUUGAAAAACACUCUUCAAACAACCGUUUAUGCUUUCCAGAAAUUCUACAUUAUUUCGGAUCGACAAUAUGUCAUCCACAUACACUUAUCAGAAAUGUUGUAGUGCUCCCACUCACUUUCUUGUAAAUACAAGUUUCUAGCAAACAUUGUAUAAACCUAAAAGCUUUGAUCACUCUAUCAAAGCAUAUAUUCUGACUCUGAGAUGCUUGCUCUAGUCCAUAGAAGGAUCGCUGGAGCCAGCAUACCUUUUAGCAUCCUUAGGAUCGACAAAACUUUGAUUGUAUCACAUACAACUCUUUCUUACGAAAACUGGUAAGAAAACUUGUUUUUUGACAUCCAUCUGUCAGAUUUCAUAAUCGAAAAAUACAGCUAAUGCUAACAUGAUUCCGACGGACUUAAGCAUCACUACAGGUGAGAAAUUCUCAUCGUAGUCAACUCCUUGAACUUGUGAAAAGACUCUUUCCCACAAGUCGAGCUUCAUAGACGGUAACAUUACUGCCCACGUCUGUCUUCUUCUUAAAGAUCCAUUUAUCUCAAUGGCUUGCCGAUCAUCGGGCAAGUCCACCAAAGUCCAUACUUUGUUCUGAUACAUGGAUCCUAUCUCGGAUUUCAUGGCUUCUAACCAUUUGUCGGAAUACGGACCCACCAUCGCUUCUCCAUAGCUCGUUGGUUCAUUGUUGUCUAACAACAUGAUAUUUAAGACAGGAUUACCAUACCACUCAGGAGUAGUACAUAUCCUUGUCGACCUAUGAGGUUCGAUAGCAACUUGAUCCGAAGCUUCAUGAUCACUAUCAUUAACUUCCUCUUCAACAGACGUAGGCGCCACAGAAAACAUCUUUCUGUGUUGCAUCACUCUCUGGUUGAAGUAAAGGUUCGACAACCUCAUCAAGUUCUAUCUUCCUCCCACUCAAUUAUUUCGAGAGAAACUCCUUCUCGAGAAAGGACCCGUUCUUAGAGACAAACAAUUUGCCCUCGGAUCUGAGAUAGAAGGUAUACCCACCUGUCACCUUUGGGUAUCCUAUGAAGAUGUGUUUUUCCGCUUUGGGUUCGAGCUUCUCUGGCUGAAGCCCUAAGCAUUGCAGCCCCAAACAUUAAGAAACGACAACUUUGGUUUCUUGCCAAACCAAUGUUCAUACGGCGUCGUCUCAACAGACUUAUAUGGUGUCCUAUCUAAAGUGAAUGCAACUGUCUCUAAUGCAUAACCUCAAAAUAAUAGCAGUAGAUCGGUAAGAGACAUCAUAGAUCGCACCAUAUUUCAUAAGGUUCGAUUACGACGUCCAGACACACCAUUACCCUGUGGUGUUCCAGGUGGCUUCAACUAUGAAACAAUUCCACAAUGUCUUAAGUGUUUACCAAACUCAUAACUCAGAAAUUCUCAUUGAUCAAAUCGUAGGAAUUUGAUCUUCUUGUUAUGAUGAUUCUUAACUUCACUCUGAAAUCGCUUGAACUUUUCAAACGUUUCAGACUUGUGCUUCAUUAAGUAAAUAUACCUAUAUCUACUCAAAUCGUCAGUGAAGAUGAGAAAAUAGCGAUAUCCACCGCACGCUUCAAUUCUCAUUGGAUCACAUGCAUCAGCAUGUAUGAUUUUCAACAAGUCACUUGCCCGUUUCAUUCACUACUGGAAUCAGCUACUUUGCCAUCUGCCAGCUCUUUGCCGUCUGCUAGCAGACGACAAAGAAGCUCUUUGCCAUCAGCUACCCAAAAGCAGACGACAAAGAACUGGUUGAUGGCAAAGAUCUUCUUUGCCAUCAGCCAGUUCUUUGCCGUCCGCUAGCUGACGGCAAAGAUUCUUUGUCGUCGGCUAGCGGACGGCAAAGAGGGAGGGGGCCCCACUGACGAGCUGCUUAAAAAAACUUAACGGGCCCCCCUCUUUGUCGUCUGCUAGCAGACGAUAAAGAGCAAAUAAGCGGACAACAAAGGGGGGCGGACGGCAAAGAUUUAACAUAACGUUAACGGCCGCGCCCCACCCCGCCCCCUCUCUCUCUGUUUCUCUCCCUGCUCUUCACACGCACGCCGCUGCCCCCACCACUCGCCGCCGCCCCGUCGCCCCACCACCCCGCCGCCCCACCGGCCCCCCNNNNNNNNNNNNNNNNNNNNNNNNNNNNNNNNNNNNNNNNNNNNNNNNNNNNNNNNNNNNNNNNNNNNNNNNNNNNNNNNNNNNNNNNNNNNNNNNNNNNNNNNNNNNNNNNNNNNNNNNNNNNNNNNNNNNNNNNNNNNNNNNNNNNNNNNNNNNNNNNNNNNNNNNNNNNNNNNNNNNNNNNNNNNNNNNNNNNNNNNNNNNNNNNNNNNNNNNNNNNNNNNNNNNNNNNNNNNNNNNNNNNNNNNNNNNNNNNNNNNNNNNNNNNNNNNNNNNNNNNNNNNNNNNNNNNNNNNNNNNNNNNNNNNNNNNNNNNNNNNNNNNNNNNNNNNNNNNNNNNNNNNNNNNNNNNNNNNNNNNNNNNNNNNNNNNNNNNNNNNNNNNNNNNNNNNNNNNNNNNNNNNNNNNNNNNNNNNNNNNNNNNNNNNNNNNNNNNNNNNNNNNNNNNNNNNNNNNNNNNNNNNNNNNNNNNNNNNNNNNNNNNNNNNNNNNNNNNNNNNNNNNNNNNNNNNNNNNNNNNNNNNNNNNNNNNNNNNNNNNNNNNNNNNNNNNNNNNNNNNNNNNNNNNNNNNNNNNNNNNNNNNNNNNNNNNNNNNNNNNNNNNNNNNNNNNNNNNNNNNNNNNNNNNNNNNNNNNNNNNNNNNNNNNNNNNNNNNNNNNNNNNNNNNNNNNNNNNNNNNNNNNNNNNNNNNNNNNNNNNNNNNNNNNNNNNNNNNNNNNNNNNNNNNNNNNNNNNNNNNNNNNNNNNNNNNNNNNNNNNNNNNNNNNNNNNNNNNNNNNNNNNNNNNNNNNNNNNNNNNNNNNNNNNNNCCCCGAAACAGCACCCCGACCCCGACACGACACCCCGACCCCCGACACCUCCCGAAAAGGUGUUCUUUGGCCUUCUAGAGGCCGACGGGGUCAUAUAUUUGUGAAUUAUGAAUUAGGUCAUAUAUUUUUCGAUUUUGUUAUGAAAAACAUCAUAUAUAUAAUUGUGUUGAUCGGGUAGUUUUAAAUGUGCAGUUGAUUCAUCGCUGCGAGGUUUGGUGUUCAACGACCUCACCGUGCGUUUGACGAGCUCUGCCCCUUCGUUCAUGGGUGAGCACAAAUGACAUGUCCUCCUCCCCCAUUAAUUAUUUGAUCUAUUCCGAUGAAACUUGAUAGCUAGCUAUAUAUGUGUCUUGAAUCAUCAGUAUGCGUAACCAAUAUGUGUCUCCCGUUCGAAAGCGUCAUAGUUAUAAAUAUGCAUGCAUUUGCAUAUUUAUAACCUUGAUUCUUUUGAAUUGUCCAACGCUAUCCAUGGACAGCCCGAGUAUGUGUAGAUUGGGUUCGUUUUCCCAUAUGCUUUGCUCCAGAUCCGACGCAUAAAUUUCGUCAAUGCCUCCCCUGUUGUUCUCCGGGUACACAUCCUCUCUGUUUAUUGCAGAGACGUGUACCAGGAGAACAGCGGGGAGGUGCUGCCGAAAUUUUGCGUCGGAUCUGGAGGAUAGCAUGGGAAAAUGAACCCAAUCUACACAUACACGGGUGGGAUUAGGACCUAUCAUUAUUUGUUAGAGUGUAGGUUGCAUGGACGUAAUAAAAUUGACAAAGUAGAUCAACUGAUGAAUAUAUACAUGGUGAAUUACAUAUAUAAUUUUUGUGUGUCCAGUAGCUCUGAAAGUCAAGAUGAGUGAUCGUGCGUGGAUGUAUACCGGUCACACUGGUCAGAACAAAUGGAGCGUUGAAUGGUUCACAAAAACCAAGGGGUUUGUGCAAGCCGCAUUUGCAAAUGGCCAGAAGAAAACCUGGUGCCCCUGUUUCCGGUGCAGCAAUUGGGAAAAGAGGACAGAGGCUGAAAUGGGCAAACACCUGCAGAAGAGUGGUUUUACGCCCGAUUAUACGGUGUGGACAUUUCAUGGUGAGUCUGCCCAACGUGACCGAGCUAAGGUGGGUCGUCGUUGCACCGACGAGCAUGGUACCGGGAUGGAAAACAUGGUGCAAGACUAUGAUGAUGCUCGGGAUUCGGACGAGGAGAUGGAGGAAUCUGCAAAGGCCUUCAAUGAAAUGUUGGAGUCUUCAAAACGUCCGCUCCACGAGCACACUGAGCUUUGUCAGUUGGAUGCCAUCUCACAAGUAAUGGCUCUGAAGGCUCAGUUCAACUUGGGCAGAGAAUGCUAUGACGCAAUUAUGACAGUAUUUGGAUGCUUUCUACCCAAAGGCCGUGUAAUGCCUGCAAACCUGUACCAGUCGGACAAAAUCCUCCAUGCACUGAAGAUGCCCUAUGAGAAGAUACAUGCCUGUGAGAAAGGAUGUGCCUUAUUUAGGCUUGACUAUGCGGACUUGAACUAUUGUCCCAUUUGCAAGUCUUCCAGGUAUAUUGUGGUAGACAACGGUAUGGGUGAGAAGACACAUACCAAAAUCCCCGUUAGUGUUCUUCGGUAUAUGUCAAUCGUACCAAGACUUCAACGUCUUUUCAUGGUCGAAGAGACGGCCAGACAGAUGACAUGGCACAAAACAGGCAAAAGAACCAAACUAGAUGCAGAUGGGAAUCUGAUGAUGGUACACACAUCGGAUGGUGUUGCAUGGAAAAAGUUUGAUGAAUUACAUGCUGACAAAGCGGCAGAUCCGAGGCAUCCUCGAGUCGGCAUCAGCACGGAUGGGUUCAGUGUGUUUGGUAUGACAGCAGCCCAAUACAGUUGUUGGCCCGUAUUUGUCUUUCCACUGAAUCUCCCCCCCCCCCGGACAGAUUAUGCAAAGAAAGAACAUUUUCCUGACGUUCAUAAUUCCAGGGCCCAACUAUCCGGGGAAAAAUAUGAAUGUGUACAUGCAACCGCUUAAGGAUGAAUUGCAAGAAGCCUGGUAUAAUGGGUUCAAGACAUACGACGCCUAUAGCAAACGGAACUUCAUAAUGCGUGUCUGGUACAUGUAAUCGAUGCAUGACUUGCCGGCGUAUGCGCUAUUCGUUGGCUGGUGUGUGCAUGGAAGGUUCCCGUGCCCCACAUGCAAGGGAGCUCUUGAGUUUCAUUGGCUUCAGGCCGGUCGCAAGUUUCUUGCUUCGACAUGCAUAGACAGUUCCUGGAUCCUCGCCAUAAGUUCAGGAAAGACAAGAAGAACUUCAUCAGGGGUAGAGUUGUCAAAAACUCUGCACCACCUGCAUUAACAGGCCAACAGACCCUGGAUCAGUUAAACGCUCUCGAGCCAGAUCCACAAUGUCCAGGGUACUUCGAGGGGUAUAAUACUAAGCACGCAUGGACUCACAAAACAUGCUUAUGGGAUCUGCCUUACUUCAAAGACCUCCUUUGCCCACACAACAUCAAUGUGAUGCACACUGAGAAGAAUAUCGCUGAGGCACUUGUUGGUACAUUGUUCGGCAUAGAUGGGAAGUCAAAGGAUAAUACUAAGGCUAGAGUCGAUCUGGAGGCGCUAUGCGAUAGGCCGUUACAAAACAUGAAAGAACCGAAAGGAAAGUAGAACUGGACAAAGCCAAAGGCAUGGUUCAAUCUUGGAAGGCCAUCUAUGAGGGAAAUUAUCUUGUGGGUGCAACAGCAGUUGAUGUUCCCCGAUGGGUAUGCAGCGAAUCUAAAGAGGGGAGCGAAUCUUGAUAAACUGAAGAUAUUUGGUCUCAAGAGUCAUGAUUGGCACAUAUGGGUUGAGCGGGUAAUGCCGGUGAUGUUGCGUGUCUUCAUCCCUGAGGAUGAAUGGCUAGUACUGGCAGAACUCAGCUAUUUCUUCCGUGUUCUUUGUGCGAAAGAACUAUCGCCUGGUGUGCUAGAAGAAAUGGAAGAGUUGGCGCCUGAGUUGAUAUGCAAGUUAGAGAAGAUCUUUCCACCGGGCUUCUUUAAUCCAAUGCAGCAUUUGAUUUUGCAUCUCUCGAUCGAGGCAAGAUUGGGGGGCCCGUGCAAAAUCGUUGGUGCUACCCAACUGAGAGGAUGCAGAAGACGCUUCGAGAAAAAUGUAAAAAUAAACAUAGAAUUGAAGCAUCGAUGGCUGAGGCAUUCAUCACAAAGGAGGCGGCAAACUUCGUAACAGCACACUACGAAGCCAAAAAUCGUCAUUUGCGUAAUCCGAAGCCUCAGUACAAUGCUGACGACCCUAAAAAGGGUGGAUCCGACCUCAGCCUAUUCAAAGGGAAUCUCGCACAAGCUAGUGUUUCACAUCCAGUAUCUUUGGAUACCAAAGAAUGGCGGACCAUUUCGUUGUAUAUCUUCAACAACCUGAUAGAAGUGCGGCCGUACAUCGAGUAAGUUCUCGGUACAUUGUUUCGCAACUUCUAUUUCCUUUGAACUGCUCUUAUUCCUGGAUAUGUCAUAUAGUCGAUACGUCGCCAUAUUCUCGUAUGGAGCGGAGAUCCAAAAGGAUUCCGUCGAAGGGUAUGAGCUUCUCGCAAAGCAAGGAGGCGGCUAUCCCGAUUUCAUCUCUUGGUUCAAACAAACAGUAAUUUCUAUUAGACAAUUUCAUUUCAUUUGCUAAUUUAUGCGUAAUGCAACAAUCCUUUCAUAUUAACCUUGUAGGCUAAUUCAGAGUCUAUGGACGCCGAACUGAGACAAGUCGCUAAUGGUUUUGACUAUAAGGUCCGUUCAUUUGACAAGUACGACAUCAACGGGUAUCGCUUUCAUACCUAUGGCAAAGAGCUAUCUAUGGCCGACCGAAAGUCUACAAAUUGUUGUGUAUCUGCUAUCGGCGAAGGAGGUACCGAGUAUUAUGGGAGAGUUGAAGCAAUUUAUGAACUUCUGUUCUAUGGUGAAAACCCACCGAAUGUCGUAGUCUUCAAAUGUUAUUGGUUUCAGCCGAAGGAGACUAGAAGGACUCAUGAACAUAUAGGGCUAGUUGAAAUCAACCAAAGCACCCAUUUAGAUAUUCCUGAUGUCUAUAUUAUGGCUCAACAGGCGACCCAAGUAUUCUAUCUACCGUGGGCCUGCCAAACUAAAACAAAUCUGAAAGGUUGGGAUGUCGUUUAUGAAGUGCCGCCACGUGCUAGACUUUCUCCCCCAAAGGAAGAGGAUUAUGAACCUCACAUUAACCCAGACACAUAUGAAGGAGAAUUCUUCCAAGAGACACGUCUUUCCAAAAAGCAUUUCAAGAACCGCUAUACUUCACCCCAAAACAUUGAAGUAGACAGCGACAAUGAAUCCGACAUCACCCCAGAGGAGGAACAAGAAGAGCCGGAACAAGAAGAGGUUACUGCUGCGGAUGACCUGUCAAUGCUUGACCGAUUACGUCAAGGUGGCCUUGCACAUGUUAAUGCCAAUGAACCCUAUGAGCCCAUCAUUGAUUAUAGUGAUGAUGAUGAUUACGCAUUUAUUGAUGAUACUGAUCGAGAUUAUUAGUAGUGUCAGGUAUUCAAAUUUUUUAUGUUGUACUUGAUGAUGAUACACUUAAUUGAUAUACAUAUUAUUAUUCAUGUCGGUACUUUUUUUAUGUUGUACUAAUUUCGUUUAUUCUUUGUCAUGGCAGGUGCUGAAAGAUGGUGGGCGCUGGUCGGGAGCGCGCCGAGGCCCCUUCUUCGUCGGCGUGUGGUGCGAGGUCUUCCAUUCCACACGCACCUCUCCGCCGAGCGUUGCUGGACAGUAUGGCGACACCGCCGGGCCCUUAUUCAUCGACCGCGGUGCCCAGCAGGGGACUAGGUAAGAAGAAGAGAGGAGGUGGAGCACGUGGUCGUGGGAGAGGAUGUAGGGUGACUCUUAUGGCGCCUUCCUCGCCGCCGCCCCCAGCUGUUUCACCCGAACACGUGACUGCCAGGGUGGACUCGUCUGAGGAGGAGGCCGCACGGACUCCGAUCCACGAGCCUCUGGUCCACGGGUCUUCGGCCCAUGAGCCUCGGGUCGACGGGCCUUCGGCCCACGAGACUUGGGCCCACGAGACCCCGGAGGAGCACACGUCUGGAUGGGGUAACUGGUCGGGUCAGCCUGAGGAGCCGAGUGGCCAUGCUGAUGAUGGCGGGGAGCCAAUUGAUUUUGAGGAGGAGGGGGAGGAGGGGGGCAACGUCUACCAGCGUGGUGCUACACGGCUCCCGUCUGUGUCGGCGACCCGCGAGCAGAGGUGGUUGAUUUUCUCUGAUGGGGAGAGGUAAGUGCAUUUAAUCUUUUUGUACCUUCUGCAUUCACGUUUCUUGAAAUAACUGAUGUGUUGGCCUUGUCAUGCUGCAGGGGUUGGGACCACCAUGAAAGUGUCCGCCGGCCCAACUCCGUCCUUGGAGUUCUGAUUCGGCAAAACUUCUCGGGGUUUGUCACGUUGCCUGGUGAGGGUCGGCUUCUAGAGGUUGGAUUGACUUGGGAACACUACUUGGCUGCCCCGGCCCCGCCGGGUGAGAUUAUCGACGGUGUCUUGUGCAAGACGAGGGCAGACGUGGUGAUCAGAAAGUUCUGGGUAAUUGCUCCUUUACACAAUUAAAAAUCUUCAACUAGCUAGUUAUUAAUUGUACUAAUCAAUAUUGCCUCAUUUGAUUGCAGACAUUCUACAGGUGUGAGGAGGGAUACGAGGAGGAUGCGGCAGAUGUUAUCCACAAGGAGUGCAAGCGCUUACUUCAGAACUUACGGCAUGAGGUUCGGGUGCAGGCUGUUCAAGACUACUACGCCGGGCGUGGUAUCAAGAAGCCCAAGCAGGAGUGCCGCGAUAAGUUCUUGAGUAAGGAGCAGUACAUGAAGCUAAUUCUUAAGGCCUUGUACUUACUUCCUUCAUUUAGUAAUUCAUAGCCGUAGCGCUCAAGUUUCUAUUUGCUAACUUAGGCCCCUCCGAGAUGGUGUGCGGAUCGGAUGGAUUGUUGGGAGGUGUUGGUCAAUGCGUGGUGCUCAAAAGAAUGGCUGGCCACCCACAAAGAGGCCAAGGACAAACAUGCCCAAAUGGAAGGUGUGCCACACCACCAAGGCAGCUCCAACUUAUUUCAGUACGGGCGGAACUGGGUAUGUGGUUUGCUUCAUGAUUCAUGCAAUUCAUUCAUCAUGCUAGCUUUAGCCCUUUAAUUACUAAUUUACUUUGUUUCUCUCUUUCAGGCACGCUACAAUAAGGCGGAUAAGGUGCCGGAGGUGUACGACCUGUAUGCCAUGGCCCACACUGGCCCUUACAAGAAAGUCAACGCAUUCUCUGCGUCUGACCUCGAUGAUCCAAAGAACUUCACCAACAUCUCCACCCAUGACAAGCUCGUGCAAUAUAAAGAUCAGGGGAAGGCGAGGAAAGGGGAGGACUUUAACCCGAGCCAGGGUCCCAUUGAUACAGAGCUGCUGAUGAUAUCUGGUGGCGGGAGGUCCCAUGGCUCCAUAGCCAUGGGAGAUGGACUUAUCCGUUGUCCUAGCACUCUCCCGGAGAUCAAGGCGCGCCAGUCGAGCUCCGCUCCUGAGAUAAGGCCUCGUGAACGGCCAGUCCAACUCGCCUUCAAGGUUAGUUAUACGUACUCAGCUAUCUUUCUCCAUUACAUUGUGUGCGCUUCCAUCAAUGAUUACAAAUGGUCAUGUGAGUGGUGUUGCAGGCUGCUAUACAGAGUGAGAGAGAUAGAACGGAGAAACUUCUAGCGGAGGCGGCGGAGAGGCAGCGGGAGUUGGAAUAGAGGACGACAAAGAUGUUGGAGGAGGAGAGGGCACGGAAUGACAUGCAGGCAAGGGCCAUGUACGAGCUCCUUAUGGUAAGUUUCUUUUGCAGAUUACUUGCUAGUCUUAACAUUUGUCUCAUUACUAACUAGUAUGACUCUGUUGUGAAAACCAAAUGUGCAGUCUGUGUGUGAGAAGUCCGGUCAGACCGCUCCGCCGAUGCCAGUGAUUGCUCCUAGGAGCACGGUGAGUUUAAUUUGAAUGGACAUUACUUGCUAGUCUUAACAUUUGAGUGUCGUAAUGCUAACGAGACAUUGGAAAUGAUCUUUGGUGCAGCUUAACUCCAGAAAUGCAUCGCACGAUCCUUCUCCAGCUACCGGCGCGAGCUAGCCCGCUCCUACACCUCCGUGAUCACGGUAAGUUUCUCUAGUGUUUUGCUUAACAAAUGCAUAAAGACCUAGACUUAGCUUUAUUUCCUCCAAUAUGCUUACCAUAAUGACCUAGAGUUAGCUUCUUUUCCUCCAAAAUGACUUAAUAAGCUUACUGAUCUCAUAAACCAUCCAUUUUACCUAAGUUAGCUCUAAAAUGAUAUGUACUUAGCUUACUUAUGUCAAAAAUUGCAUAAUUAGCUUAGUUAGCUCAUAAACGAUCCAUUUUACCUAAGUUAGCUCUAAAAUGACUCAUUUUACCUUAGUUAGCUUACAAGUGAUCCAAUUUAUCCAAGUUAGCUCUAAAAUGACCCAUUUUACGUAGAUUAGCUCCUAAAUGAUCCAUUUUACCUACGUUAGCUUUAAAAUGACCCAUUUCACCUAGGUUAGCUCCAAAAUGACCCAUUUCACCUAGGUUAGCUCCAAAAUGACCCAUUUCACCUAAGUUAGCUCAAAAACGAUCCAUUUUACCUUAGUUAGCUCAAAAACGUGGCAUUUCACCUUAGUUAGCUCAUAAACGACCCAUUUCAACUAAGUUAGCUCCAAAAUGAUCAAUUUCACCUAGGUUAGCUCAUAAACGACCCAUUUCACCUAGGUUAGCUCAUAAACGACCCAUUUCACCUACGUUAUCACAUAAACGACCUAUUUCACCUACGUUAGCUCAUAAACGAUCCAUUUCACCUAGGUUAGCUCAUAAACGAUCCAUUUCACCUAGGUUAGCUCAUAAACAAACCAUUUCACCUAGGUUAACUCAUAAACGAACCAUUUCACCUAGGUUAGCUCAUAAAUGACCCAUUUCACCUAACUUAGCUCCAAAAUGAUCCAUUUCACCUAGGAUAGCUCAUAAACUACCCAUUUCACCUAGGUUAGCUCAUAAACGAUACAUUUCACAUAAGUUAGCUAAUAAAUGGCAUAUACUUCUUCUUCUAGUCUUCUUCUUCUUCUUCUUCUUCUUCUUCUUCUAUUCUUCUUCUUCUUUUCUUUUUCUUCUAGUCUAAUUCUUCUUCUAGUCUUCUUUUUCUAACUUUCUUAUUUGUCAUUUUGCAGGUUUCAUUCACUUCACGGAAGCCAGCUUCCUAUGAUGGAUUGCUUGUUUUUUCCUUUGAUGCACUUCUUGUAUUCUGCUCACUUGCUAUGAUGAAACUAGAUUUCUAUGAUGAAACUUUGCAUAUUGUAAUAUGUAUGGAUCGAUGGAACUAUGUGCAACCUACUAUGUAUGUAUGGAUGGAUAAUUAUUAUGUUGGAUAUAUAUGUGCUGGAUAUUUGUGUGAUGGAUAUAUAUGUGUUGUGAUAUAUUUGCUGUGAUAAUUGUUGGAUAUAAGAAAAACAGAAUAAAAAAGAGGCAGUGCAGGCUCUUUGCCGUCCGCGGCAGACGGCAAAGACCCCUUUGCCGUCGGUGGCAGACGGCAAAGGGGGCACGUGGCGCCCACCUGUGCUUCCUAAGGGAUGGGCCAUUUGGCAAAUUUGUCUACCGUGGCGGACGGCAAAGCUAAGCUGAUGGCAAAGACAGACGGCAAAACACAGCGGGUGCUGACAUAUUGCUGACGUCAACUAGCGGGCGGCAAAGAGGCGCUCAAAUUUGCCGUCCGCUGGCGGACGGCAAAGGCCGCCGUUAGCCACCUAACGGACUAACGUCUAGUAUUUUGCCGUCCCUCCUCUUUGUCGUCCGCCGCUGUAGGCAAAGGGCUCUUUGCCGUCCGCCAUAAAAAGCAGACGACAAAGGACCUGUUUGCCGACCCUGUCUUUACCGUCACUGUUUGUCGUCCACCGCUGACGGCAAAGCUCUUUGCCGUCAGCCGUCCAUGCCUUUGCCGUCCGCCUUGGCAGACGGCAAAGUACUGGAUUCCUGUAGUGAUUGUACCUGAAAAUGGGGUCUUAGUCAUCCUGCCCAUGAGGCAUAGCUCGCAUGUGUCAAGCGAUUCAAAAUCAAGUGACUCCAAACACCCAUCAAUAUGGAGUUUCUUCAUGCAUCUUACGCCAAUAUGACCUAAGCAGCAGUGCCACAAGAAAGUGGUACUAUCAUUAUUAACUCUACAUCUUUUGGUGUGAACAUGUGUAUUACCAUGACCGAGAUUCAAUGAACCAUUCACAUAGGGUGCAUGACCAUGAAAGGUAUUAUUCAUGUAAACAGAAUAACCAUUAUUCUCUAAUUUAUAUGAAUAACCGUAUUACAAUGAACAUGAUCUAAUCAUAUGCAUGCUCAACGUAGACACCUGAUAACAUUUAUCUAGGUUCAAUACUAAUCCCGAAGGCAGAUGGAGCGUGCGAUGGUGAUCUCAUCAACUUUGGAAAUACUUUCAGCACACAUCGUCACCUCGCCCUUAGCCAGUCUCCAUUUAGUCCGUAGCUUUUGCUUCAAGUCACCAAUAAUAGCAACUGAACCGGUAUCCAAUACCCAGGUGCUACCAGGAGUACUAGUGAGGUACACAUUAAUAACACGUAUAUACUUUGAAGUUGCCAGCCUUCUUAUCUACCAUGCAUUUGGGGUAAUUCCGCUACCAGUGACCGUUCCCCUUACAAUAGAAGCAUUUAGUCUCGGUUUUGGGUUCAACCUUGGGUUCCUUCACUGGAGCGGCAACUGGUUUGCCAUCCAUGAAGUUUCCCUUCUAGCCCUUGCCCUUCUUGCGACUAGUGGUAUUGUCAAACCAUCAACACUUGAUGCUCCUUCUUGAUUUCUACCCUUUUGCGGUCUUAAGCACCGCAAACAGCUUCGGGAUCAACUCCAUCCCUUGCAUGUCAUAGUUCAUCAUGAAUAUCUAGUAGCUUAGUGAUAGUGGCUAGAGAACUCUAUCAAUCACUAUCUUAUCUGGAAGUUUAACUCCCACUUGAUUUAAGUGAUUGUAGCACCCAGACAUUCUGAGCACAUGCUCACUAGCUGAGCUAUUCUCAUCCAUCUUGUUGGCAAAAGAACUUGUCAGAGGUUUCACACCUCUCAACACAGGCAUGAGCCUGAAAUCCCAAUUUCAGCUCUUGGAACAUGUCAUAUGUUCUAUGGCGUUCAAAACGUCAUUGGAAUCCCGAUUCUAAGCCGUAAAGUAUGGUGCACUAAACUAUCAAGUAGUCAUCAGGAUGUGUCUGUCAAGUGUUCACAACAUCCACAGACGACGUUGUAGGGGUUUGCACAUCGAGCGGUGCAUCAAAGAUGUAAGCUAUCUAUGUAGCAGUGAGGACACUCCUCGGACUACGGACCCAGUCCGCAUCAUUGCUUACAAUAUCUUUCAACUUAAUCUUUCUCUAGGAACGUAUUGAAACAGGGAGCUACAAUGUGAGCUAUUUAUCUACAACAUAUUUGCAAAUACAAUUUAGACUAUGUUCAUGAUAAUUGAGUUCAUCUAAUCAAAUUAUUUAAUGAACUCCCACUCAGAUAGACAUCCCUCUAGUCAUCUAAGUGAAACAUGAUCCGAAUUGACUAGGCCGUGUCCGAUCAUCACAUGAGACGGACUAGUCAUCAAGAGUGAACAUCUCAUGUUGAUCGUAUCUUCUAUACGACUCAUGUUCGACCUUUCGGUCUUCCGUGUUUCGAGGCCAUGUCUGUACAUGCUAGGCUCGUCAAGUCAACCUAAGUGUUUCGCAUGUGUCCCGAGGCCAUGUCUGUACAUGCUAGGCUCGUCAACACCCGUUGUAUUCGAACGUUAGAAUCUAUCACACCCGAUCAUCACGUGGUGCUUCGAAACAACAAACCUUCGCAAUGGUGCACAGUUAGGGGGAACACUUUUGGCGGUAUCUGAUGAGGGAGAGAGGGAGGAAGUUGGAGAAUAGGUGACCAACGCUAACGGAGUUGCCUAUGCAGCCAAUCAGAAGGUAUGAUAGCGAUUUUUUGCAAAUUUUGCGUGCGAUUUGAAGAGCGGAGCUCAGAGGGUUGGGGUUUAUUUGCUUUCUGUGCCACAGAUCCACGCUGAUUGAGGAGGUAGGAGAGAGUCUGCUGCCAGAAGGUUCGCCGGUGGACGGUGGUGGAGGUGCUGUUUCUGGUCAACACGAGUGUGAGCGGCGAUGGGUGGAUCUGCGUGGCAUCGCUGCACCAGUGGCGAUGAGCGAAGAUGGGCGAAUCUGCGUAUGGCAGCAGUGUGAAGGGACAAGUCGCUUCCAUAUUCUGAGCUCCAUACGGGGAAGAUGAAUCCCCAAACUCCGUGUUGGAGUAAGAGGUUAGGGGAACUAAAUUUAAAAUUUGAUCAGUGCUAUGAAGAAUUUCAGUAAACGUAUUUUCAGGCUGUUUGUGGCCGUGCAGUGUUGGCUGAAUUUUUGGCAUGGCAGUAAUCCAUAGUCUGAUAUGCAUUAGUGUGAGGACUUAUGUUUUAAGCGGUUAAUCUAAUCUAAUUAGUCUUUAUGUGAGUUAGUAGUUUGAACUGCAACUAGAUGGGCAGUGUAUCAAUUUGGUUGAUACAAAUCAUAUAUAAUCCCUUUCAGGUUGAGAAUUGGUGCAGCUGCUCCUAGUAGGACACCCCAAACCGCAUUGUUUGUGUAAAACCCGGCUGAAAAUGUUACUCCGGUGCUGGGUACUACUUUAACUUGCUGGGUGAAGCAUAUGAGGUGAGCCUUGGAUCAAGUUCCUUGAUUUCUGUCUGAUCUGUGGCUUGGAAAGGUCGCUUUCCGUCAAAGGGUGGUAGGCGUGGAUUGAAUACAGGGCGAGUUUGUUCUUCUCUGACGCGGACAUCAUUUUGGAACUUCAGAAGCACGGGAGGGAGGGAGUGGAAGAACAGGCGACCAACGGCAAUGGCUUUCCUGAUGUUCCGGCGGUUAAGCUCUUGUGAUUUGUCUCUCCUAGAUCCACUCUGAUUGAGGAGGUAAGCAACGGCACCAACCAGAUCACCGAGAUUAGAUAUGAUAAGAUGAGAUGUACAUGCACUGGGGUUAGAUGUAGAUAGAUCAUAGAUCCAUGGUCCUGUCAGCUCUUCACCAAAUGCAUGCACUGCUGUACCAGUAGUAUUUGGUGGAAUUCAUGUACACUGUUACUUGUUUUCUGAGAAAAGAAGAAUGAGAAAUAGUGCGUGCCUGUUGUAUCCCAUUUUUGUGCGUAUAAAUGUUGUCCAAUUUCCAGAGGAUAUCUGCAGUUUGUGCCAGUUAGCUAGCUUUGUUCAUAUGCUUUUAUUUGUUCGGUACAGGAAUGUUAGUUACUUCCGCUAGCUGUUUGGUUUCAGUUUAGUUUGCACCGCCAGAUGAAUCUACUAAUGGUGAGUAAAAACAAAUAAGAAAAACACGGGACUCAUCUUAAUUAGGAGACACAUAUCAUCUAGAGAUUUCCUACCGGGUCCAAGUGUGUUGCGCUCUAAUUGAACUCAUGGUUAGGUAUUGCUAACUGACCAUGGAUGCCUUCUUUGUUUGUCGCUGCAGAUUCCAAAACUGUGAAAUAGGAAGAUAGAUUUCCCAGUGCUCUCUAUGUUCAGCAAAUUUACUAUAGGCGCACAUAUUGUACUGUUUCACAAAUAUGCCAUGCCAUGCUACAGUGUUUUAUGAUCUCUAUCAUUCACAUGGAAAUCUGUUUACUAUGCAUUCACGCCAUAUAUAAGUACAAAUCAUGUUGCAUUGGCUGGUUAAUCCCUCGAUCUGUUUGUCCCUGCCUGCAUUUUCUCACAUUGUUUGUGUAUGAUGAAGGCACCAAAUAAGAUUCUUGCAAUAGUUUGUCAAAAUACAGCUCUGUAUAGCAGAGAUAGCACCACCAGCUAAACGCCUUCUUCAUAGCUCUCAUCUGAAUCUUUUCGUUUUAUUUGAUGCAUUUUGGACCCUAUAGUUGAAUGAGGCUAGAGGUGACAUGUCAUUUUAGAAUAAAUCAAUUUUGACUGAUAGUUGACACUGUAGUUUAUGUUCAAUUUGCAGUUGAUUUCGAGAUAUGAGUCAUGAUAGUGUAAAUUAUUGCUGAUUUACUGUACACUCUAGCAUGCUCCUAUUAUAGUUUUAGAAAGCUAUGAUAUUUACUUUCUAAUUAUGUUACCCACUUCUUAUUAGUUUUCAUCAAGUUUUCUAUCUUCACUGACAUGCUUCUAUUUAAUUUUAGUUGAGUUAUUAAGAAAGCCCAAAGAAUAUCGUUGUGAAGAUUCCGGCGGAGAUGAUAAUUCAAACAAGUUGUGAAGCUGGUGCUGGAGAAAUGUCGUUGUGAAGCUCAUCCUUUUGUUGUGUUUGUCAAUGGUUGCUGGGACACCUUGUGUGAGGUCAAACUAAUCUUCGACUUGAAACUUGGGCACCUUGCACUCUAUUUCUCAACUUACGACUGUUGAGCAAUGCUUAAUGUACUCAUCUCUUUAAAUAUAGAGUAGUGCUACCUUUUCUGAGCACGCAUAUGAUUCUGCAGCUAUAUGAGGUUGUCAGCGUGAGUAGGCAGCUUAAAUACAUAGCGGCAGAAUAUAUGGGACGGAUGUUAAAUUGUGCAGCAACAAGAUUUGCGUUUGAGUUUGCCUGAAUCAGAUAGGGGCGGCGGCUGGCGAGAAUCUUGCGUGGAGCGUGGGAGGUGGGGCACUAAAUGGGGCGAGUCAGACAGUCGCCAUUAGAGUACGACGUCUGAGCCGUGGACCAGAACAUGUCGACGCUUCUGAGCCUUCACGUGUCCAGCGGCGGGCGUCACAUUAAUUAGGAUGGUGCUGUGGGCCAGGGACUGAAAUAAGGACGAAUAUACUAGUUGAAAUACACUGCCAGAUACAUGGGGCAAGUGCGAAUCUGGAGGCAAACGAGCGAUGGGGAUAGCGAGUGCAUCUGAGCUCGAGCUCAGAAUAGCACUUUCAUCGAGAUGGCUACUCAUUUAAAUCCGAGAAUAAUGGGUGUUCUAUUUAUAUGAGAGAUAUGUUUUAUGGUCAUGCCCUGCUGGUGAAUGGUUUAUUCUUAAUGAAUCUCGAGCGUAAUGUUACACAUAUUCAUAGUGUGAAUACCAAAAGAAGUAGAUAUGGGUAUGUCUACUUAAUGAAACACAAGUCUGAGACCUUUGAAAAGUUCAAGGAAUUUCAGAGUGAGGUUGAGAAUCAACGUGACAGAAAAAUCAACGUGGGGGAGAAUACUUGAGUCACGAAGAUGAAGACCAGGGGGCCAACACCCUUCUCACGAGGGUGGGGGGCGCGCCCCCUACCUCGUGGCCCCUCUGGAGACCUCCCGACUCCAACUCCAACUCUAUAUAACUGCUUUCGGGGAGAAAAAAAUAAAGGAGAAGAAAUCAUCGCGUUUUACGAUACUGAGCCGCCGCCAAGCCCUAAAACCUCUCGGGAGGGCUGAUUUGGAGUCCGUUCGGGGAUCCAGAGAGGGGGAUUCGUCGCCGUCUUUAUUAUCAACCAUCCUCCAUCACCAAUUUCAUGAUGCUCACCACCGUGCGUGAGUAAUUCCAUCGUAGGCUUGCUGGACGGUGAUGGGUUGGAUGAGAUUCACCAUGUAAUCGAGUUAGUUUUGUUAGGAUUUGAUCCCUAGUAUUCACUAUGUUCUGAGAUUGAUAUUGCUAUGACUUUGCUAUGCUUAAUGCUUGUCACUAGGGCCCGAGUGCCAUGAUUUCAGAUCUGAACCUAUUAUAUUUUCAUUAAUAUAUGAGAGUUCUAGAUCCUAUCUUGCAAGUCUAUAGUCACCUAUUAUGUGUUAUGAUCUGUUAACCCCGAAGUGACAAUAAUCGGGAUACUUACCGGCGAUGACCGUAGUUUGAGGACUUCAUGUAUUCACUAUGUGCUAAUGCUUUGUUCUGGUUCUCUAUUAAAAGGAGGCCUUAAUAUCUCUUAAUUUCCAUUAGGACCCAGCUGCCACGGGAGGGUAGGAAAAAAGAUGUCAUUACAUUGACGAACUGGAGCUAGUUCUGUGUCACCCUAUGUUAUGAUUGUUACAUGAUGAACCGCAUCCGGCAUAAUUAUUCAUCAUUGAUCCGAUGCCUACGAGCUUUUCAUAUACUGGUUUAUGCUUAUUUACUUUCUCGUUGCUACUGUUACAAUCACUACAAAAUACCAAAAACAUUACUUUGCUUUCAUUACUCUUUUAUUACUGUUACCAUCACUAUCAUAUUACUUUGCUACUAACCACUUGCUGCAGAUACUAAGUUUCCAGGUGUGGUUGAAUUGACAACUCAGCUGCUAAUACUUGAGAAUAUUCUUUGGCUCCCCUUGUGUCGAAUCAAUAAAUUUGGGUUGAAGAACUUGAGAGAUCCAAAAACCAAGAUCUAUCCCUCAACUACGAGGGGAGGUAAGGAACUGCCAUCUAGCUCUGCACUUGAUUCAUCUUCUAUUAUGAGUAAGCUCGCGACACCUAAAUCUGCUUCUGCUAUUCGUUCUGAUAUGUCACAUGUUAUUGAUGAUGCUACUUCUGCUAUACAUGAUACUUAUGAUGAAACUACCUCUAUGCCUGAUACUACUAUGCCACUUAGUGAUUUUCUCGAGGAACGACUUGCUAGGGCUAGAGAGAUUGAAAAUAUUGAAUCUGAUUAUGAAGAUGAAAGUGAUGAUGAAGAAUCACUUAUUAUUCCCGAGGGUUAUUUAUUUGAUCAAGAUGCUUCUUUAGCUAUUUUAGCUUGCAAAGAUAGAUAUGAACUCAAAGGUUAUUAGCUAAAUGGAAUAAGCAAUCUCUAAAUGCUAGGAUGAGACCUGACCCUGCUUUUGCUACUUCACCCAUAUGUGUUGCUGAUAAGGAUUAUGAAUUCUCUGUUGAUCCUGAUAUAAUUACUUUAGUUGAAUCUGAUCCUUUUCAUGGUUAUGAAUCUGAAACUGUUGUGGCACAUCUUACUAAACUGAAUGAUAUAGCUACUCUUUUCACUAAAGAUGAGGAAACUUGCUACUUUUAUAUUCUUAAAAUAUUUCUGUUCUCAUUAAAGGGUGAUGCUAAGAUAUGGUUUAAUUCUCUUGAUCCUGGUUGUGUGCGUAGUACCUAGGAUAUGAUUUAUUAUUUCUCUGCUAAAUAUUUCCCUGCUCAUAAGAAAAAAGCUGCUUUAAGGGAUAUAUAUAAUUUUAUGCAAAUUGAAGAAGAGAAUCUCCCACAAGCUUGGGGGAGGCUUCUCAAGUUACUUAAUGCUUUGCCUCAUCAUCCUCUUAAGAAAAAUGAAAUACUUGAUAUCUUUUACAAUGGACUAACCGAUGCUUCCAGAGAUUACCUGGAUAGUUGUGCUGGUUCUCUUUUCAGGGAAAGAACACCGGAUGAAACUGAAAUCUUAUUGAAUAAUAUGUUGACAAAUGAAAAUAAUUGGGCACCUCCUGAGCCAGCUCCUGCUCCAAUUAAUGAUCAUAUUACUAAACCAACUCCAAAGAUGAGAGGUAUUCUAUUUCUCAGUCCUGAAGAUAUGCAAGAGGCAAAGAAAUCCAUGAAAGAAAAAGGUAUUAAAGAUGAAGAUGUUAAGAAUUUAUCUCCUAUUGAAGAAAUAGAUGGUCUUAAUAAACCCACUCCGUUGGAGAUGCAGUAAUACUCUCAAUUCUGUAAGGCAGGCUGACUUUUGCCUUAAUGUGUUCCAAAGCUUAUGUAAGAAAGAUGCUAACCUACAGAGCAUUCUUUGGAGGAAAACACCUAUGUGAGACCGACUGCUGGUCACAGUCUAUGAGGUUGGGUAAUCUCUAGUAAACUCAUGAGAAGGUAUGGAGUAUGACUAAUAAGAUCCACCCGUGGGGUUUAGCCUACGUUAGCCAUGUAUCAGCUGACAAUAGGCGAAACUUAUGCAUGCCAAACUGACAAUUCAAAGCAUAGUCCAUUGUUCAGUUGUGAAGAAGUCUAAUCCUGUUGCUCUAGGUGAAAGUUCAACUUAACAGUCUUCACUGAAAAUUCUGGUAUAUCAAACAUUGUUUGGAACAGUUGACAAACUUAUUUGCCUCGAGAUCUGGUGGGGGAUUGUUGGAUUAUGGAUGGGCUUAGGCCCAUAUAAGACACUAAUCCCUGGUUAAUCUUGAGGCCCAUAUAUGAGAUGGUAGGUGGUGGGAAGUUUAGUCCCACCUUGCUAGUUGAGGAGAGUUGAGACCCCUUUAUAAGGGCUGCUCUACCACUUGCCAUUGAGAGUUUGGGAAGUGGAGUAGUACACGCGCGUUCCUCCUCCUCCGCCGCCCGCCUCGCCUCGCCUCGUCAUGACGCGCGCGCCGCGCGUUGCGGGAAUGAGCCGAGCCGAAGUUUAUUUUUGCUGCUCAGGAACGAAUUAAUUAAUCGGGGAUUAAUUAACGAGUCACUAACAUGUGGGCCACUGUCCAAGACUGUGGGCUGACUUGCGUUGCCGGGAUUCGUCGACUCCCUUGUCGGGACCCGCGCUGCCAGGAUUCGUCGACUCCCUUGCCGGGAGUGGGUCGACUCGGUCGUGGGUCUUGGCAAUGCCCACGACUUUCUCCUUUACGGACUAUAUAAAAAGGGUCUGGCCAAUGAAGUAACCAAGUUCGGUUCACUCACUCCCUCUCGCGUGACCUAGCCGUCAUCUAAUAUUCCUCACUCUGUGCUGCCUCCGGCGAUCCCAUCCCGACGACCGCGUGCACGGCUGGUCGGGAGAGCAGGUGCCUCCGGAAUCCUGUCGUUCGAGAUCCAGCCCGGGAGAACGACAAUAAGGUUUUUGGGGAGCGUCUCGACGCGACUGCUCCCGAUCCGUCCCCAACUCUGUUCGCCUCUGCUUCCACUACUUCCUCUGCAUCGACACCAUGGCCGUUGCCGCCGCUGCUAAGAAGAAGGCCACGGACGACGCCGAGGCUGUUGGUGCCGCCGCCGCGUUGGCCUGACGAACCGAAGGGUAUGAUCUGUUCAUCCCUCGCUUACUCGUACUUAUGCUAGCCGUAUAUGUGCUGCUCAUAGAAGGUUCGAUUAUAUGUUCUAUACGUGCUAGUAUGCUUAGGUAUCGCUAUGCGAUGCAUACCUUUUAUGCCAUGCUUACUGUUUACUCAUGGAUAAGUCUAAUCGGAAAAAUGCUAAUAUUUCCAACAACCCCCGUGUCCUUUCAUUGGAGAUGGUUUGUCUUCAUAUACGCUUGUGUUGGAUCAUUAGCGCAAGCGGUUUCCAAAACAGCAUAUGCUGAUUCUUCUAUUAGCGACAUAGGCUUCGAGACGAAACCAGAAGCCGUUGCCGGCUCACGUAGAAAAACUGCCUCCAAAGAUCAAUCAUGUACUAGUGCGGGCUGCCCAUUCUGUCACGGAUCCCUUGAAGAUACAGAAGUCAGAAGAUAUGAGAUUCUGUCAUGGAUCCCUCGAAGACAUAUAAGAUCUAAGGUAUAUUUGGUGAGCUAAGCCAGGUAGGAGACCAUGAUGUCAAGUUUUCGACGUCAGGCCGGUGAGAGCGAUGUGUGCUGCUCCGUUUGCGGCUUAGGAGUUCAGAUUUGUGCAGGCAAAUAAUUGAUCCUGGCAAUAAUAUAGCCGACCCUUUUAAUAUUUUAUCCCAACUUCUGUUAGUAUUUUUUUCGUUCGAAAAUGCUUGUCCCUCAAAUGGAGGGAGUACGCUUGUUGAUAGUAUAGCUAGCCGGCUAGGUGGCUCGGAGCCGGCUAGGUGGCUUGGAGGUGGAGUGUUCGAGCCACCUAGCCGGCUUUCAGAGCUGGCCAAUGGACCAAUGUCGAUCUUGGACUUGGACUCAUGCAGCUCCGCCACCGCCAGGCACUACUUGUAGCCAUCAGACAGUGUAGGUGGACUCGUGCUUUGUACUCGUACGGACCGAUGCUGCCGCAUCAUCACCGCUAAUUCUCUUUCGAUUAUUCCACAAGCUGUAAAAUAGAAGAAGACCGGGCAUGCAGAUGCAGUGUUGAAUCCUUCCCAAGAUGGUGGGGUUGGUGCAGCCCAGCCGUGCAGGACGGAUCGCAACCAUGCGCCACUUUUUCUUGUGCGUUGAUCGAUCCCCUUGGAUUGACCCUCGAGGCACGGUCGCUAAAUCGGGAGCCGUCGUACGCAAUCUCAGAUUCACUUCGGCUUAGCUUAGCUCCCAAUUAAGGUCAGUCAGUCAGUCAGUCCAUAUGCUUGCAAUCAUGUCACCAGGGCCCGACGUGGACGCGUACCAACACUCCGGCAGGCCAUAGCCACAGGCCACGCCGUUGACGCGGUGACCGCGCCCCGCAUCCCUCGCCGGGUCUCCACGCGCAUGCACACGGGACACGGCUCCGCUCCCCACCAGUGGACGUGCCCGGGUCCAGUCGCAAGGCAACCACAGAAGAAGCGACCGAGACAACGAGGUCCGGCUCGGUCUCUUCCGGCCGCGGUUAAGCGCCGGGAUUCUCUGUCACGCGGGCGACUCUCCGGAAGCUUCGCCGCGAGGUUGGUCACGUGCGUACCUGCGUGCCCCGCCGCGCCACGGCCUAUAAAUCCACCCGCCUGCCCAGUGCCCUGAGUCACUCCCCUAUCUCUGAGAUCACACCGCGCUUUCUUCCUCCCUUUCCCAUCGUGCUCGCCGGCCAACGUCCGUAGACCGUAGGUCCCGGCCGGGUUUGAUCCAUGGCGGAAAAGAAGGUCCGUUGCUUACAGUAUAGUUGAUCGAAGCUCUUGGUUUCUGUGGUCCAGUUUGCUGAUCGUGUUUUCUUGUCUGGCGGCUGCGGAAUUCAGGUUGUGCUGAAGCUGGACCUGCACGACGACAGGCAGAAGCAGAAGGCGCUCAAGGUCGUCUCCACUCUCCACGGUAAGAAUCCCCUGCUUCUCCUUCUUCUCCAGGUCCGUCCUAGUCAUGGACGGAGGGGAUUGCCAGGAUCUUCAUCAUGUUUCAGUUUGACAUUUCCGAUGACAACAACUGCCGCUUGCCUCAGGCAUCGACCACAUCGCCGUGGACAUGAAGGACCAGAAGAUGACGGUGGUGGGCACCGUCGACCCCGUCGACCUCGUCGGAAGGCUGCGCAGCAAGCUCUUCCCCACGGCGCAGAUGCUCUCCGUCGGCCCGGCCAAGGAGGAGAAGAAGGACGGCGGCGCCAAGAAGGAAGCUGAUACCAAGAAGGAGGGCGAGAAGAAGGACGCGGUCCCGGUGUACAUGCCGUGGUACCCGCCGCCGCCGCCGCAGUACCACCCGCACCCGUACUACCACAACCACAGCGCCGAGGAGGACCCCAGCUCCUGCGUCAUCUGCUGAUCGCCGGGCGCAGCCCACUCGCUCCCUUGUGCAGUUUGUAGCUGGCCGUGUGCUCUACUGCCUGCCGGUCGCUCAUGCCAGCUACGGCGAUCGACGGCGUGCGCCAAUGUGCCAUACAUAAGGCCGGUGAUGCAGCUGCUGUGCUCGUACUAGAUAGAACUGCUGGAGUUUAUUACAGUGUGUAGAAUUACUAGUACUAGAUAGAACUGCUGGAGUUGGAUUUUGAGUGAAAGUUCACUGAGUGCUCUGCUCUCCAAUGUGAUAACAAAGUAGUGAAAUAAAUAAAUUGAAGACAAAGAUAUGGGAAAUUCAGGAGAGUUGCUAGAUUGGUCUCUCCUGAACCUUCACACUUACGAAUAGAAACUCUGAACUCUUAAGCUCUCCGGCUCUGCUCCACCUGACAGUUACUUUCAGUCAGCCUGUCAGUGAUCUCAACCACAAAGCGAAAAGGUUUCCAAGAUUUU
rnacentral:lncRNA from 1 species